CUUCAUUUGCUCUACGUCAGAUGAGAUAACGAAAUGGUCAGCCCCAAGCAGGCUCAGUGCUUCCUCCUUUUUAGAAAUGCUUGUACUGAACACUGUGACUUUCAGGUCCAAAAGCCUUCCCAAACUUAACUGCCAUAUGACCGAGCCCGCCAAGUCCAAUUACACCUAGAGACUUACCAGGUUGGUUCAUCUUGUGACGUAUCAUUGGAGUGUACACCGUGAUUCCAGCACAGAGCAAUGGCGCUGCUAGAUCCAUCGGGUAGUUUUCUGGAAUCCUGAAGCAAUACCUGUCAAUGAAGCACCACCAUUAAGUUUCCAAAUAACACCAAGACAGGAAGUGAUUUCCCAAUAGAAUCAGCAUCCUGUCUUUUUUGUCUAAAAGGAAUCAAAUCACAGAGCCAGAAAUCCUAUCUUCCGCAUGCUAAGGAAUUUUACUUGCUUAGACCACAAUUCAGCAUCAUGUUGUUUCCGUGAUCCUUGUUCUGACCACAAAUUGCUCAAGACAAACAUUUCUUGCUGUAGCAACGAAAAUAAAGCAAUUGCAGCACACCGGAGGCCACACUCGAUUAAAAUUAAGAAAAGUCACUUGCUCUAAGAAAGGAAACUGGUGGCAUAUCACAUAUGCUUGAUUGAACACGUAAUUUCUGUAUUUCCUUCAAUCAAUUUCUCCAAGGGAGUCAAGAUUCCUGUGGCUCUAUCAGAUACAAGAAUUACUGAAAGCACAUACAUUUAGCUACCCAUUUGAUCUGAUACUUAUGAUCUAACUUUAACAAUCUAAGGACAGCUUAUUCCAUUCUUGACGAUGCUUACUGAAAAGAAAGAAUUUCUUUUCGCAUUUAAUAAAGCCAAUUCUCCAUUGAAUGGUUUCAAUGGUAAUUGGAUACAGAGGACUUAAAGACCCUCCAAAGCAGUUAUAGAAAGUAUCUUUAUCCCUUUCCACAUGAUGCAUUAUGCCACUUCUGGUCACAAUCAGAAUACGAAGAAAAUUAGCAGAGAAGAAGACAUGACAUGAAAUCUUUUUUUGGCCACCAUGAUUUGAAAUUCUUUCACAGUGCAAAAUGCUGCCUAAUAACAUUGUGUCAAUAAGCAAUUACCUUUCAUGGACGACAAUGUGACUAGAAUAUCCUCCCUUUGUCACUGUACCGUCCGUAUCGAUUCCGUCAAAAGUCAAAACCAUCUUUUCACAGUGGACUUCUAGCCCGUCAUUGCAAUACUCGCACUCUCUGCAUGAAUUGACAUAAGUUCCCACACCCACAUGAUCGCCAACUUUGAAGCGUUGGACACUGGAGCCAACCUGUUUCACAAUUCCAACUAUCUCGUGCCAAUCAAUCCAAAAAAUCAUUCGCAAAUUUUGUUCAGAGAAUUAUUAGGAUGGUGCUAAGAAAAAAGAUUAACAUUCGAAUCACGCUGCAUCCUACCCUGGCACCAGAGGAUACUUGGAGCGUCCCGACAUAUUCCUAGUCCAACCCACAUCUGCAUAGCACACUCCACAGUGCGUGAUCCUAAUCGAGACGUCAUCGCUUCCCACGGUCCUAAAGAGAGAAUUCCCAAACAGGUGAGCAUCUAAUCAAGCAACUAAUCAGACUCAGUUACCUUUUGUUCUCAUUUUCCAGAUCAAUAAACUAAGCGUGGCUUACAAUAAUCAUACAUUCAACCCAAAGCAAAAUUUAAGAAAAGAGAAAUGAAAAGGAACCAAAUCCAAGACUAUAGCAUUUGUCUGAAUAGUACAUACAACCUCAAAUGCUCACAAAGGCAGCACCUGAAUCCUAAUGUCUGCCAUGAAGUUCUAAGCAACUCAUUCUGGGACAUGACAUCUCAUGCGUACGAACAAUUCUCUACCCAGAAAUUAGUGCAUACACAACAAAAUUUAUAAAAGCAAAACGAAAUGGUUUGGUUAAUGUGGAAAUUUAAAUAUAUGACAAGCAUCAAAAACUGUUUUGCAUUACAGGUGAGAGGAUAAGACCUGAGAACACUGUAUUGAGAUUAUUCAGACAAAUACUUCAAUAGAAAUUGAAAGUAUAAGGAGCAGAUGAAUUAAAUAAAGAACAAUGGUAACAGUAAUACCUGCGGCUGAAUUUGUAGGGGGAGAGACGUCCAGAAGGAUCUCUGGCAGCCCAACCAAGACAAUCUUCCUUCGCACCCUCUGAACUCAUCGUUCCUCAACGACCUCAACUGAAAUCGACCCACAAAAAAAUUGCUGCGUUAAUCUCUCAAUAAGCUGAAUUAUGGAAGAAGAAGAAGAAUUAUUUUCGUGAAAGAGAAAUGAAGAAGAGAAUUUCAAACCGAAAAACAGAAGUUCAAAUGGUCAAAAGGCCAAAUGUCACGAAGACUUGGCAAUUCCGUUUCCGUGCAGACAGGAUUUUGCUGUCUGACUUUUGAGCAAAGAGCGAGAUUGAUUAGCAGAGAACGAGGUUGAGCGCUCAAAAACCGUCACCUCUUUAUAGAUGCCAUAGCGUCGCCUGUUCUUGAUUUUUUUUUUCGUUUUAUCUUGUGGAAAAGAAUUAGUGCCAAACGUAAGCCAUUACCUUUCCCAGUAACGUCUUCUGGAGUACGGUUCUUGGUAUUUGCGGAAAUGUGUGUUUGAUGUGUGUGUAAGUGUGUUUUGUGUGUGAACUAUCAAGAGAGCAAAAGAACUAAAAAACGAUGUGAGGAAGAAAUAGUUGGACAAAAUAAUAAUGAGAAUGUGUAAAAGACAAUAAGGCUGAGGCGGUGAAGGAGAGAAACUUGAAUGAAAGUCAACAAUAGUGGCUGAAGAUGAAACUAGUAUGUGGACAGAAAGAGUAUUUGGAGAAGAAAAUGAGUUGUCUUGUAGCUGUACUGCGGCAGUGAAAAAGUGAAAAAUGUCAUGUCGGUUGUAAUUGCCUAUAUAGGCUUAUCAUAUGCUGUGUGAGGUGAACCCUUCACCUUGUGUGGGGUGACCCCUCCACUGUGAGAGGUCUUAGACCUCCACCAUGACCAUAUGAAGAGUGACUAUCAACACCUCCAUUAAAUUAUUUUGUCUUCUUCAAUAAGUUCUUGACAGCUGGAGUUUGAUGAAGAAACUUUGAUUCAUGCUUCUAUUUCUCAUGCACGUAGACUUCUUUAGCCUGUUCUAGGAUUUCUUCUUCAACUUGGCUUUUUCUUACUUGCAUUCCCAUGUGAAUCUUUUAGGUUCAGCUAGCAACCAUCAUUCUCAACAAGUCUAAACAAUCUUCAACAUGGAUGCUGCUACCAACGUUUAUUAAUUUUUAGACAGUUUUAGAGAAAAUGAAUUAUAAUUUCCAACAUAUAGUAUUUUGGAGAAAAAAGUAUUUCAGCAUAACUGUGCAAGGAUUUGUAGAUCACUACAACAUCACCGGAGGCAAAUAAUUAUCCGUCAUUGACAUGAACGAUAUAGAAAAAAUUCUUUUAAUCAUUUACCUUAGUUUAGCAAGAUCUGCUUAAACGACAGCCUUGAGUAUCUUCAAUUCCUUUUCUCUUGCCUUCAAAAAGAUAUUGAAAUGCGACACGGAAUAUCAAGACAGAUUGUCAUUGACAAAGCCGUAAAAGCCUACUCGAUCUGGCAAAACUGGGGACUGUUCUUUCCAACGAUCUUGACCACCUCGGCAGCUGCUGUGCAAAUGGAUAGGAAUGCAUGCAGAGGGACAAGCUGAUUGUUACCUGCUUUUAGUCGUUCAUUUGAAACUGUAAGAUUCAUGUGCCAUAAGAUAGCUAGACAAGCGAGCAAAAAAUGAUGCGCCUUGCACCAAAGGUGGCAAGAGCAAUUAAAUUAAAUUCAAACCAAAAAAAGCUUGAUGCAUAAAAUGAAAAGUCAUCCUUUGAGCGAAUAAAUGACAAAGUAAGUGCAAUGAGAGUCACUAAUGUUCACGCUAGACUUAUGCCAUGACCAUUCCUUAGUCGAGAGAACGUAAGCAGCGACAUCUUCUAGAUAGUGGUUACUAGCAAUUUUAUUUUUUAUCCCCAGCCUAAUCAUAUUAUCCGAGUUAUAAGCUCAGAAAGAAGUCAAUGAGCAAUCUACCGCUAGGACCUAUGAAUGGUCAUACGAUAUUGGUUACACAUCUUGUUAGAAUAUAAUAUGCGGAAAUAAUAGGAUCUUGCAAUUUACGUCAACGCGCAAAAUUCCAGAUAAAUAAACGAGAAAUAAUAAGAAUCAUAAAUUUACGUGAUUCAGUCCGAGUAUCGAUAUUUACAUUCACAGGGAGAGCCAGCAACAAAUAGUCCAUUAUAAUAGGAAAAUCAGAAUUUACAAUCGCACACACGCUCGAUUACUUCCCACACCAAGAUUUAAGCUCAUACUCAAAGAGUUUAUAAAUAAAUAAUUCACUUGGAAAUUAUCUCGCGUUCAAGCUUUAAACUACAAAACAUUCUACGUACGCCAAAAACAAGAACUCCGGCAUUUGUCUUUUGGUUCGCGUACAUACAGAUUCGUGUUCUUCUUUGCUUGAUCGUUCGUGUGGCGCUGUUCUAGACGCUCCUUUUGUGUGGCUCUUUCUUCUUCGUAGGGCUUCAGCGACUCUUUCUAAAAGAAAAAAAAAAAAAACGUGUUCUAAUUUAUAUGUGAGCCUAGAGUCUAACAACUUUGACUUUGAGCCCCACCACGUGCUUCUUUGUUCAAUGGGAAGUGGGACGCGGUGAAGAGACCCUACCUUUUUCUUCCUCUUUCCUUUAUUUUAUAUAUAUUGUGUGCCCAAAGUUAAGACUUUGACUUUGGGCCCCACGUAGAGAGCCUUGUUCGGCUCCCGUAGAUAGAUAAAGAAGAAUCUUUGCUCCUUUUUUGUUAUUCUAUUUUAUUUUCUCUUUUAUAAACUUUCAUGGAGUCCGACGAAGCUUUUUUUUGUUGAUCGAAAAUAUCCAAGACCCAAAAAGAAUUUCGAAUUUCUUUUCUUGUGCAUAAUCUUGAAUAUUAUAUUCAUCAGAAAAUAUCUUCACGAUCAAAUAAUAAAAAAUUUAUCCAAGCAAAUUGCGUUUUGCAAAUAUUUAAAAUUGAGACAUAAUUUAACACAUCUGAUAUGAUGUACUACCCAAUUACUGUCCUCUGACAAUUUAUAUUUGAUUAAUUUAUUUCAAGAAUAUUCAUUUGUUAAACUUGUUGGCUUACAAAUCACUGUCACUAUCACGUGAUAUAUCCUAUAUUGAGAAUACUUGGGAGCAUCUAUGCUUGUUUUAUGUAUGUUAUGCUUGUGAUGCAUCUUGUUUUGAGUGGACUGUAGAACUAUUUAAGUUCAUGCCAAUUUGACUAAUUUUUUAUCUGGAUAAGUGCAUUGGAAUAUUUAAAAACUUAUCAUAAAAAUACAAUUAAGCCAUGAAACUUUGAAAUCAAGUUCUAGAACUUGUCACGUUGGUCUAAUCUAAAUCCUUCCAUUGCAUUUUUGAAAAUUUCAGUACUUAACUACAAUUUUCUAACAAGUUUUAGUAUUUCCAAUAUACAUAUUUGUCUUUCAACCUCACUAAUGUUUUUAAGCAAUAAUGAGCUUGACAUAUCUCUGAUUUCGGAAUUUCAAUGGCUAUAGGAGACAAAAGGACGUCCUCUAAUGAAUCAACAAUCUUAUGCCAUGACAAAGCUGGAAGAGAGAUGAGUGUCUUCCAUAGUUAUAAAAAAUGUUCAUGCGAUAAUCUGUAGGAAUUCGUCUUCCUGACGUGCAUGAAUAUUUCCGGCCAUGAAACAUUUCACAGUGAAGACAUUCUGUCACUUAAACUGGCAAAAGGAUAUUGAGCUUGUUCUUUUGGCGAGGGUAUUGCUAUUAAAUAUGCCAAUUAAUUCCACGACUAUUAGCAUUUGUUUAAAUAGAGCAUACAACCUAAAAUGCUCACAAUGGCAGCUGGUACUGGAUCCUCAUGUCUGCCCAUGAAAUUCUGAGUGCCUCAGACAUGGCAUAUCAUGCACACAAACAAUUCUCAACCCAGAAAUUAGUGCGUACACAACAAAAGUUAAAAAAAGAAAAAAAGAAAUGGUUUGGUUAAUGUGGAAAUUUAACAUAAUGACAAGCAUAAAAAAACUGUUCAGCAGUACAGUAGAGAGGUCAAGACCUGAGAACACUGUAUUGAGACUUAUUCAGAUGAACACUUCAGAUAGUCACUAAAAAGCUAAGGAGCAAAUUGAAUAGAGAAGGGAAAAGUGCCAAAAAAGUCCUAAAACUUUUGUCAUUGUGCCGAUUUAGUCCUAAACAUUUUUAAGUUGUGCAAAUUCAGUCCUUUCCGGCCAAUUUUGCCCGGAUUUUGCUGACUGGACGCCAGUCAGCUGACGUGGACAAUUUUUAAUAAUAUUUUAAUAUUUUAAUAUUUUAUUUUUUAUUUUUUUAUUUUUUUUAUUCUGCUCUUCUUCCUCCAGCCGGUCGCCGGACCUCGGCGACCAGCCACCUCGCCAGUGGCCGCGGGGGCGGCCUCGCGUGGGGCGGCGAGGCUCACCCUCGCCGGAUCUGGCAAGGGUCGAGCCUCGCCCAUGGCCGGCGAGGCCGCCCUCGAGGCCUGGGCUGCGAGGCUCGCCCUCGUCGGAUCUGGCGAGGGCGAGCCCCGCUAGCUUGCCGGAUCUGGAUUUGGCGAGUGAGGGGGUUUGAGCAGGGGGAGAGAGUCAGAGGGGGUAAACCGCUGGCCACCCACCUGAGCCGCGGCCGUCGGCCUACGGCCGCGCCUGGUUUCAAGCACCGAAGCUUCGGUAGGCCUCGGUCCUUUUUUGUGCCUUGCGUUGGUCGGACUAGGCCAGAGCUCGCGGUCUUCAAGGAUUCGGUUCGAGAUCUGAGGGCGUUUGAUCUGGGCGGGACUUGAGAGAGAGAGAGUCCUCUCCCGGCCAAGCCGAGGAAACCCUGGCCACGUGAGACCACCGCCACAAUGCUGCCGCCCAAUGCCGUCCACCGCUGCUCGCCGACCCGCCGCCAUAUCCAGCGAGGGCGAGCCUCGCCCGCCCCGCGCGAGGCCACCCCCACGGCCACUAGCGAGGUGGCUGGCGAGGUCGAGGUCGACCUCACCGGCCGUCACCUCUGGCCGGUCGCCGAGGUCCGACGACCGGCUGGAGGAAGAAAACCAGAAUAAAAAAAUAAAAAAAUAAAAUAAAAAAUUCAAAAAUAUUAAAAUAUUAUUAAAAGUUGUCCACAUCAGCCGGCCGGCGUCUAGUCAGCAAAAUCCGGCCAAAUUGGCCGGAAAUGACUGAAUUGGCACAACUUAAAAAGGUUUAGGACUAAAUUGGCACCAAAAAAAGGUUUAGGACUAAAUCGGCACAAUGACAAAAGGUUUAAGACUUUUUUGGCACUUUUCCCAAAUAAAGAACAAUGGUGAUGAUAAUACCUGCGGUUGAAUUUGUAGGGGGAGAGAAGUCCUAGAAACCGUCAUAAAUGCCAUAGCGAUGGAUGUUCAUGAUUAAUCUUUGAGCUUACUAUUGUGGAAAAGUAUUAGUGAUUCGCCAAAUGUAACCCAUGACCCUUCCUUAACCCAAGAACGCAUGCAGUGACAUCUUCUAGAGAGCGGCUCCUGGAAUUUUUUCCAUCCAUCCUCCCACUACCUAAUUGCAUUAUCAACCUAUUGACACAUAAACGAUGUCAAUAGGCAAUGUGCCGUUGCACCACAAGACCCACAAAUGGUCAUCUAUGUCGGUUACACCACCAAUAAUUUGUACCUGACCCUUCAUGGUCCUAUUAUUUGAUUAAUCUGUUUAAAGAACAUUCAUUUUCUUCAAACAUGCUUUCUCACGUGCCACUGUAAUAUGAUGUUUGUUGCGACCUACCUUCGGAGGGAAGGAAUAGGUUUAGGGGUAUUGGCUAAAGGACGGGCCUAAAGCCUAUAAUUAGACGCGAGCUCUCCUAAACCUAUAUCCCGCAUGACGUUAGGAUAUUCUUAAGAAAUUUUGCUCGCCACUAACCUAUUGGGGUCGGCUAGAAACCAAGUGAGGCAUGGGAGCGUGCCUCACUUUCUACGCAACCAGAGAAUCUGGGUUCGAGGACUUAAUUACACUAAUUAACUAAUUAGUACCCUUUCGAUACCUAAUCUUGUUCAUUUUAACAAAAUGAUUUUUGGCAGGCAGUUUGAAUUGAUUUUAUACUUAUCCACUGACAUAUGAUCAUGCAGAUGCGCAAUCAUUUAAAAUAAUAAUCAUAACUACCAAGAUCCUAAUUAUAGUAAAAUUAACUCAUGCAACUAAACAAUCGCAGACACAGUCGAAUAUGUAAGUUAAACAUGCAAUAUAAUCAAAAUACGAACAAAUAAAUACCGAAUUACACAAAGAAGGGCAAUACACAACAAUUCCUAAUCAAACCCUAUAUUUUUGGAUUUACGAAUUUUUUUAUAUAUAUAUUUUUUAAAUUUAAUAAUUUUGUUUUUUUAAAUAAAUUAAAUUUUCUUUUUAAAGAAAGAUUUUUUUUUAUGUUUUCUGGAUUUUUUAAUUUUCGGAAAUUUUUUGAUUUUUGAUUUUUUUUUUUGAAUUUUUAUAUUUUUAAUAUUUAAUAUUAUUAUAAUCAGGAAAACGGGUCCGACUGGGUAGAUCCGAUGCGGCCAUUGACCCGACCCAAAACCAGAUUCGACUCUAUCGGAUUGAAAGAGAAAAUAAGAUUUUUAAUUAAUUUUUUUAGUUUUUAAACACUUUUUCUGUUUUUUCCUUCUCCUCCUUUUUUGGCCUCCUCCAUGUCUUGUCUUUUCCCUGCAGUCUUCUCAUCCUCGCCGCCUUCACCGAAGAUCCGCCCCCCACAUCUUUUCCACAUUUCUAUUCUUUUUUUUCUUUUUUUUCUUUUCACCACCCUUUUAUUUCUUUUAUUUCUUGUUUUUCUUCUAAGCUUUUCUUUUAAGUUGUCUUCUCUGCAUGCUUUCUUCUCCGCUCGAAGCUUCCAUUAAACACCCGAAACCCCCUCUGCCAUUUCAUACUUUUCUUUUAUUAUUUAUUAUUUUGCCUUUUUAUAUUUCUUUUUCUUUAUUUUUCAUUUUUUUUCUCUCUUUUUGUCCUUUUCCCUAUUUCGGCUAUUCUACUGCAUCUUCUCCUUCCGAAAGCUAACGCCAAUUCUGCAACUUCCUCGCCGAAGCUCCUUCCCACCGAAUCUCAUCCGCACACUAACGACACGGCCCUGAACAAUCGGUGACCCUUCCAUCGCCCGUCCACCGGUAGUCGCUACCCCACGGAAAGAUGAACAGGCGCAAAAGAACAACAAGAAGACAAGGAAUGGAACACGGGUCCCUAAGAUAUUAAGGAACUACGUCAACAUCAAGAAAUGUUCAGAUUCAGCCAUAACAACAACAAAACCUAAACGAAAUCAUGCUCAAUGAUCCAUAAAGGAUUCCUUUUACGCAAGACCGGAGCAUACUCAUUCCAAAUGAUCCGAAAUUCACGACCUAAUCCGCGUUAACUUAGUUCAAGCGUUUUAUCAAACACGUGGUAAGCACUGACUCGGGAUGAGGUUAUUAACUCCUCUUUGGACCCGCUCGAGUCUAGACCCAGAGAAAUCAUCAAGAAACAUGCAAAAUCGACCACAUCAACUUACUCAAACUCAGCGUGCAUAUGGGCUGACAAAAGGAACAAGACAUGGCUUCCGGUUAGACCAAAACAAGGUGGAGCAGCAAGGGUUCAUGCGAACAAGCAUCUCAUCACGGAGUUCCCUACCCAACUCGAAGACGGCAGGAAGCGGGCCAACUCGCGACAAAUCGAGCUAUAGCUCGCCGCUUUGGUAUCUUCGAGCUGGGACCCUAAUCGAAAUGCAUCCAUUUGUCUCAUGCACUAUGGGGAUCCUCGGGCAAGAGAGGUUUGAACCGAGUAAAGAAACUCACCAGCGACGCCGAGAUUCGGGGGCGAAAGAUCGUAUGCUAGAGGAUAUUGGCCAGAGGUCGUCGAAGACGGUUCGAGCGUGGCCGACCUGCUACAAAACUUCUCCCUCGCUUUUGUGCUGGUGUUUUCUCCGUUGCUCCUUCUGCCAAGCCCCCCGCUCCCUCUGUUCUUCUCCUGUUUUCUUUUAAAACUGCCGUUGGUUCAUUUCCCUUUGCCUCCGUCCAAAAUGCCUUUUGCUAGUCCACGAAGCCAGCUCUCUUUCUUUUCCAUCUUCAGCUCUAAUUUUCCUCGGUCAGUCCAGCCUCCUUGCCUCUAUGUAUGCCUGCAGCCGGUCUUCUCCUUGGGACCGAGUUCGGUCUAUUUUCAGCUACAACGGCUGCUGGUUUUCUUGGGCUUCGUCAACUGCAGGCGCUGCCACGCUGCAGCCAAGCUUUCAUUGCUUCCAUUUUUCUGAAAUCGCACUUGCCGAUCCUCUGCAGAUCCUUCUUCGGCUUCCUCCUGUUCUGUCUUCUACAGGUCCUGCGCGAAGAUUGGAGGAGGGAGAAGGAUGGGGCGCGGGCUGGGCCGACGGGGGGAAAGGAGGCUGGGCCGCGGGGGGAAAAGAAAUAUAAAAAAAAAAAAAAAUUCUUGAUUUUUUUAUUGACUUUUCGAUUGAUUUUUUUUUUUUUUGUAAAAAUAGGUAUCAACAAUGUUUUUGAUACACAAAAUACUAUCUCUUCAAGAGCUUUGACUCCUAUAUACUUGGGGCAUUAAAUUUUUUUAGCAACAAUGAGCUUGGCAUAUCUCUGUUUUCGGGAUUUCAGUUGCUAAGGGAAACAAAAAGGACGACCUCUAAUGAAUCGACAGUAUUUUGCUAUAACAAACUUGGAAGAGAGAUGAGUGUCUUACGUAGUUACAAAAAAAUGAUCAUGCAAUAGUUGGUAGAAAUUUACUCUGCUGACAUGCAUGAACAUUCUGAAAAAAAAACGGAAAACGUGCAUGAAUAUUUCCGGCCAGAAAGCAUUCACGAGGAGCUGAGAGACACUAUUUCUUAAAGCAGCAAAAUGAUUACAAGUUUGUUCUUUUAGGGAGUGGAAUGAAUAAAUUGUACAAAAAAUCCUAAACUUAUUGUCCGAUCACUAAUUUAAUUCUGAACUUUUUAAUUUGAUCAAUGUUGUCUAAAACUUUUGACAAUUUUUUGUAGUCCACCUAGUUAAAUUUAGGUCAAAAAUCAGUGACAGAGCAAUUUAGUAAACACUAACCGUUUUAAGUGAUACAACUGAUAGCUUAUAUAGAUGACUUAAAUGAGGUAGCGUCAUUUCACAAUUUUUUUUUUAAUAUUCUUUCUUUUCUUCUCUUUUAGUAAUUUUUUUCCUAUUCUUUCGUUCUCUAGUGUUCUUUUUCUUCCCUCUACUGGUGGCCGAUGCCUCAGCAAUGACCAGGGACCAUCAUAGGCUACAAGUGAGGGCAUUGAGCAAGACUUACAAGCCUUCUCCUAGAUUUGUGCAAGGGCCCUAUAGGCCCUCACUGGCCAUAGGCAAUUGGGGACUUGCAAGCCCUUGCCUAGAUCUACCCUCGCAUGGGGUCAAUGUUUACCAUCACCAAGGCCUCAAUGUCUUGCUCAAGAAAGAAAAUGAACAGCAGAGAAGGAGAUGAUAGGAAAAGAAAGAAAAAAGAAAAAAAGAGGAAAGGAAAAAAGGGAAAAAAUCUGAAAUAAUAACAAAAAAUUGCAAAAUGACGUUUCAUUUAAGAUCAUCCAUGUCAAUUGCGAAUCAUGCAACGUGGCCUACCUUGUUGGAUGCAGUAGAUUUAGGAUAUUUUGAAUAUUUUUCUCUUGUUAAAUAUGCCUGAUUUAUUUGAUAUCCUAAAAUUUGUCAACUUUGUGAAAUCAAGUUCUAAAAUUUGUUGGCAUUUUUUUCAUAUUGGAUGAAGUUAAUGAAAUGACUUGAUUACAACUACUUGAUAAGUUUUAUAACUUGAUUGUAAUUUUUGAAAAUUGUAGGACUCAGUUGCAUCUCUGUAAUAAGUUUUAAAACUUGAUUACACUAUAUGUAAUAAAUUUUAAGAUUUUCAGUAUAUUUAUCUCUAAAAUAAAUAAAUAAAUAGGGCCUACCCCCUUUACAUGAACUCUUUAAUUUAAACGCACCAUGGAAUUUCCUGUCCUUUUACACUGUUUCAUUAACUAAGAAAUUUUUUUUUUUUUGGGGUUAAAACCAAGAUUUAAUUCUUUCUUUUUUUUUUCUUUUGGACGAGCCAAGAUUUAGUUCAAAGAUAGAUAUUUCCAGGAGAAAAAAUUUCAGCAAACUAUGCAAGGAUUUGCAAAAGAUCGCAACAAUAUUACCGGAAGCAUAUAAUUAUUUAUCACUGACAAAUGAUAUAGUAAAAAUUCUUUUAGUAGUUUACCUUAAGUUUAGCAAGAUCUGCUUAUUCGGCAGCCUUGAGUUUCUUCGAUUCCUUCUCUCUUGCCUUCAAACAGAUAUAGAAAUGCAAUGCAGAAUAUCAAGACAAAUUGCCAUUGACAAAGCUGUAAAAGCCUACUCAAUCGAGCAAAACUGGGACAGUUUUUCCAGUGAUCUUGACCACCUCCGCAGCAUGCCGUGGAAAUAGAUAGGAACACAUGCAGAGGGACAAGCUGAUUAUUACUUGCUUUUAGUCAAGCAUUCGAAACUGUAAGAUUCAUGCACUAUAAGAUAGCCAGACAAGCGAAAAAAUGAUGGGCAUUUCAGUUGAGGUGUCAAGAGCAAUUAGAUUGAAUUCAAACCAAAUAAAGCUUGACGCAGAAAAGAGAAAUGUUGUGCAUUGAGCGAAUAUAUGACAAAAUAAGUGCAAAGAGAGUCAUGGAUGUUCUAGCGCUUUGGCCAAUUGAGUUCUUAAAAUUUUACUUUGCUUAAUUGAAUCCUCAGCAUUUUCAAUUUCAGUCAAUUGAGUCCCUCAACCUUGAUCCUCGGAAAUAGUCACAUGGCUAUGAUUUUCCAAGUUGAUAAGAAGAUGCUCGAGAAGACAAGCGGGUAGGAGGUGAAAUGGGACCUAAGUGUAAGUUUUACUAUUUCAAUAACUACAACUGAUCUGACAGAAGAUUGAACUUUCAUGGAUCUGGCACUUCGUUUGAAGCUAUACAAACAGAAAUCAGCGGGCUCAAGAACCCAAUCUUUUAGAUAGUUUCUGAAUUAUCACACAGAAAAGCACUAGGAUAUCUUUACGCAUUCACUUAUUUCCUCUGUAAACUCACAGUUAUUAAAGUAUAUUAGGCAUCAUUUAUUUGUAGUACAUUAGGUACAGAUGUCCUCUCUUUGAGAUUCCCUCUUUUCCUCUUCUUACGAUCAGCUUUGCCAGAAGAUGUUUCCAACUUCCGACAUUGAUGAUGUCAUUUCAAGGAAUUCUCAAUGUUGAUCACAAAUCAGUACUUAACAUCUCUCUUGAUGAGCCCCUCAAGGGCUUCAUAGGCAUAAUCGAUUGGUAUCACUUCGAUUUCUUGGUAUAUGUGCUGUGCCGCACAGAGGUCUACCAUUUCUUGGAUAUACUUCAUUCCUCCAAUAGCGCUACCCAAAACUGUUUUCAAAACUGCAAAAAGUUCACUGUGAGCAACUUAGUUGGUUCGCCUAUCAUGUAUCAAUAUUUCAUUCAGUAAUGAGCUUUGAGAACAAAAACAUACCAAGGUUAAGGCUUGCCGCACUGAAUGUAAUUUCGCUUUGGGACGCAACCAAUGCUAGAACCCAUCUUCAAAAGAGACAUGUAAGGAUCAAAUAGGUGAUUAGCAGAUGCCGUGUCAAUUAUAAAGUCCAUGGACUUAGCCAUGGCCUGCAUGUAUUGGAAUCAUCAGAUCACGGCAGCACUUGACCUCCAUGGAUCCAAAGUAUUGAUAAUUCCAAAUCUUCCCAUUUGCCUUCAUCUGAAAUGGUCAGCACCAAGCAAGCUCAGUGCUUCCUCCUUUUUAGAAAUGCUUGUACUAAACACAGCGACUUUCAGUCUAAAAGCCUUCCCAAGUUUAAUUGCCACGUGACCGAGCCCACCGAGUCCAAUUACGCCGAGAGACUUACCCGGUUGGUUCAUCUUGUGACGCACCAUUUGAGUGUAUACUGUGAUUCCAGCACAGGGCAAUGGUGCUGCUAAAGCCAAUGGGUAGUUUUCUGGAAUCCUGAAGCAGUACCUGUCAAUGAAGCACCACAAUUAAGUUUCCAAAUCACACCAAAGGAGUAAGGGAUUUCCCAAUAGAAUCAGCAUCCCAUCUUUUUUGUAUAACAGGAUUCAAAUCACAUUUUACUUGCUUAGAGCACAAUUCAGCAUCAUGUGGUUUCUGUGAUUCUUUUUCUGACCACAAAUUGCUUAAGACGAAAACUUCUUGUUGUAGCGACGAAAGUAAAGCCACUGCAACAUAUAGGAGGCCAUACUCGAUCAAAAUUGAGAAAAGAGGCUUGCUCUUAACAGAGGACACUGGAAGCAUAUUGCAUGUGCAUGACAGAUCAUGUAAUUUCUCUAUUCCCCUCAAUCAUGUCUCUAAGGGACACGAUAUUCCCGCGACUGUUGGAUACAAGAAUUCGUGAAAGCACGUAAAUUUUAUUACCCAUUUGAUCUAACACUUACUAUCUAACUCUUGGAAACAAUCUACAAAAAAGGGAGGAAGAGGAGACAGAAGGCGAGAAUUGAGCAAUUUCCAUCUCUCUCUCUUUUAAUUAAGGGUUAAUAUCCUAAAAAAUCCCAAACCGGUACACGUGACAAAUUUACCCCGAUGGACUAUAAAAAAAACCCUAAACUUAUAUAUUUAUGACAAAUUUACCCCAAACUAAUUUAUUCGACGGCAAAAAACCCGAAAAUGGUAAAUUUGUGACAAAUAUACCAUCUGCUAAACUGAAUUAAUAUCACAAAAAAAUCACAAAAAUUGUAAACUGUGACAAACGGGGCGUAAAAUUUCAAAUUGGUAUACUAGUCAACUGUCACGUGUCAUUUAACUUAAUAAUUUGACAGUAAAAUUUAACGAAAACUAACAGAGGGUAAAUUUGUCACAAGUAUAACAGUUUAGGGUAAAUUUGUCAAAUGUAUACCAGUUAGGAGUUUUUGGUGGUUAAAAAAAUAGUUUGGAGUAAAUUUGUCACAUGUGUAUCAAUUUUGGGUUUUUUAGGAUAUUAACCAUUUAAUUAAUUUAGUUUUCAAUUUUAUUUUAUUAAUUUUUCAUGAAAAAAUCAUAUAUUAGAUUUAUUGGCUCACAUGUCAUUGUCACUUGAUGUGUAUGAUAUAUAGAAUAGUCCAAGAAAUUUGACUUUAGAUACUUGGGAACCCGUGAAUGGUCAUACAUUGUCGGUUACACAUUCAACAUGAUGUAUUAGCUAAUCAUAGUCCUCUAACGGUUUAUAUUUGCUUAAUAUAUUUCAAGAAUAUUCAUUUGUUAGACUUGUCUGCUCACACGCCACUGUCACUUGAUGUAUAUGAUAUGCAGAAUAGUCUAAGAGCUUUGACUUUAGAUACUUGGGAGUGUCUAUGCUUGUUUUAUGUCUGUUAUGCUUGCAAUGCUUCUUGUUUUGAGUGGACAGUACAAAUAUUUAAGUCCGUGUCAAUUUGAACAAUUUUCUUUAUUAUAGAGCAACAAUCUUUAAUCUAUUGUGUUCUUGACCACAAAAAACCAAAUAACAAAUAAGUAUAAACUAUUGUAGGGUCCAACGACAAUCUUUAAUCUAUUGUGUUCUUGACCACAAAAAAUCAAAUAAUAAAUAAGUAUACACUAUUAUAAGGCCCACUCCUUUAAAAAUUUGUUGCUCACAACAACUUAUUUAUUCUCAUAAUAACCCAAAGUUAUGCUAGCAAAGCUCUUUUUAGUAAGUGUAUUGAAAGUUUUAAAAACUUGUCACUAAAGUGCAUUGAGUCCUAAAAUUUUCAAAAAAAUGCAAUUUAAUCUUAAAAUUUGUCAUGAAAUGCAACUGAGUCUUAAAAUUUUCAAAAAGUACAAUCAAUUAUAAAGAUUUAUCAAAAUUGGUCCAAUUUAAGUCAUUCCAUUGAUUGUAAUUUUUGAAAGUUUUAGAGCUCAACUAUGCUUUCCUAACAAAUUUUAGGACUUAAUUAUACUUUUUGAAAAUUUUAGAACUUAACUGUAAUUUAUGAUAAGUUUUAGGAUUUUUAGUAUACUUAUCUUUUUUUUUUUUUUCACCUCAUUAAUCUUUUUAGCAACAAUGAGCUUGACAUGUCUCUGUUUUCAAGAUUUCAGUGGCUAGGGAAAACAAAAGGGAUGUCCUCUAAUGAAUCAACAAUCUUCCUGCCAUGACAAUGCCGGAAGAGAGAUGAGUGUCCUACAUAUUUAUCAAAAAUGUUCAUGUUAUAAUUGGUAGGCAUUCACUCUGCCAACGUGCAUGAACAUUUCCGGAGAUGAAACAUUCGUGAGGAGCCAGUAAAGACAUCCUGCUAUUUAAACCGGCAAAGGGAUAUCAAGCUUGCUCUAUUGGCAAGUAUAUUGUCGUCAGAUCAGCCUAAUUAAUCCGAUAUUUUUUCAUACAAAAAAUCGUCAUCGAGGCCAACUUAAUCCAAAAUGCCAAUGGACAGGCUUUGGUAAGCUAGUGGAUAGGUAUGCCGCUUUAUCUUAUGUCGUGCUAUCUCACGAGAGAUGGUGCUGCGUUCUCUUUAGAAUGCACAUGACUUGGGAUAGGAAAACCUUAGGAUCCGACUAGGAGGAAGGAAAAAAGCAAUCUAUUGUCGGGCCAAUACAAGAUCAUUUCAUGUCAAACUCCGCAGUCUUGAGGCCAUGGAAUCUACGACAAACUUGCUCAUUCACAAGGACUGAGCAAAUAAAUGAUAAAAUAAGAGCAAUAGUCGUCAUUGAUCGUCUACCCUUUGAUUGAUUGGAUUCUAAAUAUUUUAUUUUCAAUUGGGGUCUAAAUAUUUUAUUUGAUUCAAUUGACUUCUAAACAUUUCCAAUUUUAGUCAAUCAAGUCCCUCGAAUAUUAACCGCGGAAAGAGGCACAUGGCUGUGAUUUUACAAGUGGCUAAGGAGAUGCUUGAGGAGAAAACCUGUUAGGAGAGGCGAAACCAUUCCAGCAGAACUCUCAAGAAGCCAAUUUUUCAGACAGUUUCUCAAUCAUCACAUAGAAAAGUACCAGGAUUUCAUUACCCAUUUCACUUAUUUCUGCUAUAAAACUCACGAGUAUCGAAGUAUAUCAGGCAUAGUUUAUUUGUACUCCAGCAGAACAACUAAAAAGGCACAGAUAAUGCUCUCCUCUAGCUGAAACUCCCACUUUUCCUCUCUGUGUGAUCAGCUUUGCCAGCAACAAUUUCCAACUACCCAAAUUGAUGUUGAAAUUUAAUCAAAUAGACUCAGAGAAGAAAACCCGCAAGAGAAUUGUUGCUGUAACUUUCGUUAAGAAAACCCACACGAGAAUUGUUGCUGUAACUUUCGUUAUUUUAUUCAUCAGAACAUAAGCCUAUUAAAUAGGCAGAACAUCCAAACCACUUAGCAAGAAAAUAGCUAUAGAACAACAACAACAAAGACCCACUAACAUACCCCACUAACCAGAACAUAUGCAGAAACUAACUCCUAAAAACAAGCCACUUCCUAUUGACUAGGACUCCACUAUUACAUUAUUGAAGACACAUAAAAACAAAGUUAACUACUUCAACAAUUGAUGGUGUCACUUCAAGGAGUUCUCAAUGUCGAUCACGAAUCGAUACUUAACAUCUCUCUUGAUGAGCCUCUCCAGAGCUUCGUUGGCAUAAUCGAUCGGUAUCACUUCGAUGUUUGGGUAUAUCUUCUGUGCUGCACACAGGUCUAUCAUUUCUUGGGUAUCCUUUGUUCCUCCCGUUACGCUACCUGAAACAGUUCUCAUAUCUGCCAAAAGUUCACCGCAAGCAACUUAGUUCACCUAUCAGGUAUAAAAUUUCAUUUAGUAAUCAGAUUUGAGAACAAAAACAUACUGAGGUUAAGGCUGGCUGGACUGAAUUUAACUUCGCUCAGGAAGCCGACCAAUGCUAGAAUGCCACCCGUCUUCAAAAGAGACAUGUAAGGAUCAAAUGGGUGAUCACCGGCUGCCGUGUCGAUUAUAAAGUCCAGGGACUUAGCAAUGGCCUGCAUGCAUUGGAUUUAUCAGAUCACAACAGAAUUUGACCACCAUGGAUCUCAAUGUGGAUAAUUCUAGUUUUUCCUCUUUUUACCUUCAUCUGCUCUAGGUCAGAUGAGAUAACGAAAUGGUCAGCCCCAAGCAGGCUCAGUGCUUCCUCCUUUUUAGAAAUGCUUGUACUGAACACUGUGACUUUCAGUCCAAAAGCCUUCCCAAACUUAACUGCCAUAUGACCGAGCCCGCCAAGUCCAAUUACACCUAGAGACUUACCAGGUUGGUUCAUCUUGUGACGUAUCAUUGGAGUGUACACCGUGAUUCCAGCACAGAGCAAUGGCGCUGCUAGAUCCAUCGGGUAGUUUUCUGGAAUCCUGAAGCAAUACCUGUCAAUGAAGCACCACAAUUAAGUUUCCAAAUAACACCAAGAGAGGAAGUGAUUUCCCAAUAGAAUCAGCAUCUUGUCUUUGUUGUCUAAAAGGAAUCAAAUCACAGAGCCAGAAAUCCUAUCUUCUGCAUGCUUGGGAAUUUUACUUGCUUAGACCACAAUUCAGCAUCAUGUUGUUUCUGUGAUCCUUGUUCUGACCACAAAUUGCUCUAGACAAACAUUUCUUGCUGUAGCAAUGUAAAUAAAGCAAUUGCAGAAUACAGGAGGCCACACUCGAUUAAAAUUAAGAAAAGACACUUGCUCUAAGAAAGGAAACUGGUGGCAUAUCACAUAUGCUUGACUGAACACGUAAUUUCUCUAUUUCCUUCAAUCAAUUUCUCCAAGGGACACAAGAUUCCUGUGGCUCUAUCAGAUACAAGAAUUAGUGAAAGCACAUACAUUUAGCUACCCAUUUGAUCUGAUACUUAUGAUCUAACUCUAACAAUCUAAGGACAGCUUAUUCCAUUCCUGACAAUGGUUAUUGAAAAGAAAGAAUUUCUUUUUGCAUUUAAUAAAGCCAAUUCUCCAUUGAAUGGUUUGAAUGGUAAUUAGAUACAAAGGACUUAAAGACUCUCCAGAGCCGUUAUAGAAAGUAUCUUUAUCCCUUUCCACAAGAUGCAAUUAAUACCUAAAAGCCAUUCCUCACAGUCCUAUGCAUUAUGCCACUUCUGGUCACAAUCAGAAAUUCAGAAUACAAAGAAAAUUAGCAGAGAAGAAGACAUGACAUGAAAUCUUUUUUUGGCCACCAUGAUUUGGAAUUCUGUCACAGUGCAAAAUGCUGCCUAAUAACGCUGUGUCAAUAAGCAAUUACCUUUCAUGGAUGACAAUGUGACUAGAAUAUCCUCCCUUUGUGACUGUACCGUCCGCAUCGAUUCCAUCAAAAGUCAAAACCGCCUUUUCACAUUGGGUUUCUAGCCUGUCAUUGCAAUACUCACACUCUCUGCAUGAAUUGACAUAAGUUCCCACCCCCACAUGAUCGCCAACUUUGAAGCGUUGGACACUGGAGCCAACCUGUUUCACAAUUCCAACUAUCUCGUGCCUGAAUCAAUCAAAAAAAUCAUUUGCAAAUUUUGUUCAGAGAAUUAUGAGGAUGGUGCUAAGAAAAAAAGAUUAACAUUUGAAUCACGCUGCAUCCUACCCUGGCACCAGAGGAUACUUGGAGUGUCCUUGCACAUUCCUAGUCCAAGCCACAUCUGCAUAGCACACUCCACAGUGCGUGAUCUUAAUCGAGACGUCUUCGCUUCCCACGGCCCUAAAGAGAUGAUUCCCAAACAGGUGAGCAUAUAAUCCAGUGACUAAUCAGACUAGGGUACCUUUUUUUUUCCAUUUUCAAGAUCAACAAACUAAGCUUGACCUACGAUUAUCGAGAAAACAAGAAACCAGAAAUGAGAAAAGGAAAAAUUCCAUGACUGCAAGCAUAUUUGUCCAUACGCUAGAUACAACCUCAAAUGCUCAGAAAGGCAGCCAGUACAGGAUCCUCAUGUCUGCCAUGAAAUUCUGAGUAACCCAUUACCAACAAUUCUCGACCCAGAAUUCAGCGCAUACACAACAAAAGAAAGAACGAAAAAAUGAAAUGGUCUGGACCGAAAACUGUCUCGCGUGAACACUGUACUGAGACUCUCGCAUGAACACUUUCGGUAGAAAUCGAAAAAGAAAAAAAAAUGGCAAUACCUGCGGGUGAAUUUGUAGGGGGAGAGGAACCCAGAAGGGUCCCGGGCAGCCCAACCGAGGCAAUCCUCCUUCCCACCCUCCGAGCUCAUCUUCUGUACCUACACACCCAGCGAAGCAAUCACACAAAUGGGUACGGUUAGAUUCAUCCAAAGGAGAAGAAGAAAGGGUGAGAACUCGAACGAGAAAGUGCCCAAGAUCAGAGACUCAACGGGUCAUCACUCGGCGAGGACUCGAGUCACAACGAGCUCGCCAUCACUCACCAACUCACUCACUCACCCACACCCACCUACCCAAACACAACCCCACGGGCCACAGCAACUCAGAGAGAGAGAGAGAGAGAGAGAGAGAUGACUACGGAGAUGGAGAUGAAGAGAGGUUACGCUGUGGAGUAUGCAGGAGCGCGAAGAGGGUGACGAGCCGAGCACAGUCGAGGACGGGAGGUUCAACGAAGACUUUUUUGCCCCCUCCUACUUCGCAGGAAAGCUGCGAGUAAUCCGAUGGAUUUUAUAGCGUUGGCCCGAGAUAGUUACGAAAAUAUUGGAAGGAAAAAUUAUCCGAAACUUUAACUCAACAUGUACCGUGAUCUAUAAGGAAAAAUAUAGUAUAUAGAAAUGAAAGAUGAGUAGAAAAAGAAAUGGACGAUUGCUGUCAAAUUAAAACUAUUCCCAAGUCAACUUGUCGGUCCCUUUCCUUCCAUUAUAAUCCUUUUUUAUAAUGUAACUGAAGAUUACUGGCUUUGUCACAACCAACGUAAACCCUCCAAAAGGUAAAAGAACUUAUGCAAAAGUAUAAAAAUGAAAGAUGUGUUGAAAAAAUGAGGACAAUAACCAAACGCGUGCAACUCAAUUGCACUUUUCGAUAAGGAUAAACUGUACCUCUCCUCAUCAUUGAAAGAGAUGGGAUUAAAUGCCUCUCCUCAUCAUUGAAAGAGAUGGGAUUAAAUGCAGACGUGAUUGACAUAGAGAUUAUCACAAGAAAUUAAAUAAAAAUAAGUCUUUCUUGGUAACGAGAUGUUUGUUCUCGUGACCGUGUAGGUCUUUCUAGGUUCUCUGACGCGUGCCAUGAGGUCAUGGCAUGUUAUGCAACCAAAUAUAUCCAUUCUAUAUUUCUAUGGUAACUAUCCAUCGUUACCUCCUGUGAACCUAAGAAGAACAAAACCAAUCCAUAAAGCUGUGGAGGAUCAAGAACAACCUGCCAUAAGUUAUUGAUGAACUCAGUUAAUUGUUCGAAGCCUUAGAAGCGAAUCAUUAAAACUUUAAGCAACUAAAAUGUCAGAUGCCAAACAGAAGGAAAAUCUACAGAGCCAACAUCUGGAUCGGAUCAAUGAUGGCAUAUCAACAACUAAGGGAAAAAUCUGCUACUAAAUAUUUAUCUGAAACUAGAGGAUGACGUUGCACUUGCAUAACUCCGUUAACGCAGAUCAAUGGUCAUGCUCUGUCUAGCUUUGUUAGAAGUUUGAAAACUCUACACGGACAGGCACUAUUUGCAAGAAGACGUGUUCCCUAUGCUCAUCUUUGUACUGAGCUGGAAAUGCUUUUAGCAGAUAGCUGUGCCUCCAGAAACAAAUCGCAUGAAGUGGCCCACAAUUCUCUGGCAAGUCCGGUGUCGUACGAAACUGAAGAAGAGUUGAUAGUCCGGCCCCUCCCACCAAAGAAAUACACACCAGAAAUUUCCUAUUUUUGCAAGACAGCGGCUAUUAGUAAGCACUGUUCCAACAUAUAAUAGCAGCCACAUAAGAUUGAUACCAUAGAUUAUCAGCAGAGAAGGGAAAAUCAAUUCUGGAAACAUACUGUCAUACCGUAGAAUCAACAUUAAUGGAUUUUACGUCCAAUGUUAGUGUGACCUCAGUUGAGGAUAAAACGAGAGAGACUCAUUCAAGAUGGUUCAGAUAAGUGAAGCACCAGUACAGGAAUGCUUUACACCAGCCUAUUUAGUGGGAAAAGAUCACUAUCACCCAUAAAUGCAGCUGUGGUUGCCUAUUGAGAUGAAACCCAGGUGAUUUCAUUGCAGUCCCAUCUAGCAUAUAGCAGAAAUUAAAGAUAAUGAUUGCAGUCAGAAAAACUCACAGGAGGGGCAAGGGCUGCAUCCAGAACUGAGUUGACCGCACCUUCAGGUGAAUCCAAAAGACCCAUUGCAGUUAAAAAUGCAAAAGCUGUGUAGGACAGGUAAGGGGGAACUUCUCGCAUGAUACUGGUUUUCACUACUCCAGGAUCCACAGCACUGGAAAUAAAAAAGAAACAGGAUAACAUCUCAAUUGUGCUGCCAGCAUGUAUUCAUACACAAAACUUUAGAGAAAGACAAUCUACAAAGCCUAAGUACAUUUUCUUGUUUAUAAUCAACUAGUAUAGUAUCUCUGAUAACAAAAACCAGGUUUUCAACUAAAAAGGGAUAGCUCAUAGAUUUGUGGAAAGUGGUAAGUGGAAAGUUCAAAUUCAACUACCAUACAAACUUAAGGGUGAGAUUACACUGUCCUACAAGAAUGCUUAAAUCCAGAGUGGCAGGAUUGUUGAUACAUACAGAAUGGAAACAUGACAGGAGCUUUCCAAGCGAAGGCGUCGAUGAAGUUCAUAUGAGAACAGCAGAAGGCAUACUGUAAACAAACAGGAAACUCUUACUAAAGUUUGUGAGAAGAUGUGACAUUUGCUUCUCAAAUAUUGCUGUAUCUUUUAUUCUAUCCUUUCCUUUUUGGUGCUAGGCUUCUCGAAUAAAACAUGAAACUUACAUUUUGAAUAACCAUAGAUCUGUGCACAUGGAUACUGUUUCAUCCUGAAGGAACUCUUCCCAAUAACACUUUCCUUGUCAAAUGUCGCACCACAUACUGAAGAAGAGGAGAACCGAGGAAAAGGAGAUUUUAAAUAAAUAAAUAAAAACUAUGACUCUAAACCUAGUAUAACAAUUGCACUAAAACAGAAACUGCACAGAGAAGUUGGACAGCAAGAAACUACAAGCAAACAAUACCAACUAUUUGACAUCAUAAAAGAGUUCUGUAACUUAGACAUUGAGUACAGCUAUAUUGCAUGUUCUAGUUUUAGCUUGCUAUCUCAGGCACUGUUAAAGUCCUAGAUGGGCACCAUAUUUAGUUCACUAAUUGAAUGAAAAAAUGACAUGCCAUAAGGGUCAGCAAGCCCGGGUUUCACAGAGGAACCUCCUUGCAGGCUGGCCACCGGCUGCAAUCAGUGUUCCACAGAUAAAUGGAAGUGUUUCUGACCACAAAGUGAAAAUAUCUUACCGCUUCGAUGUGUAAAGGACGUGACAUUGACUAUCCGGGAUGGAACAGGGCUGUUUCUGAGAAGUGGUAAUAAAUGCUUUGUCAAAAAGAAUGGUCCCAUGUAGUUCGUUGCCAUCAUCCUGGUGCAUAAAGAGGUGGAGAGAAGAAUCAACAGGAGAUCAGGCAACAAUGCAUUAUGAAAGACUGCAAUUAAUAAAUUCCAUUCCAAAAAGAGAAAAGCAAAACAGUGGGAGAUGCCACUUGCUACCGUGGCAACAAAUCUCCACAAGUAAACUACAAGUUGACAAGGUAUAUAGGAAAAUCAAAAUCACUAGAACAUUAGACUUUCAAUUGGGAAAGUGACGACACUAUUAUCGUUACUUAUUUAGAAAUUAGAACAUAUGCAUCUCAUUAGUUAAAUCUAAAACAACAGAAUAUAUAUUCUCCACUGUGACUGCUGUAGUGUUUAGAUUGCCAAAUAUUUGGAUCUUUGGAAAGAAUAUUGCAAAAAAAUUCCCAUGGCAAUAAGAUAAUUACUCAUCGAAGCCUUCAGCUGUAAUUCUGUAGGAUGUUGCCAACAUUCCAGCAUUAUUUAUCAGAAGCUGGACUGAGGCAUGCAUAUUUGAUUCCAACAGCCAUUGCUCAAGGGAGCAUCUGAAGUGUAAGAUUGACUCGAUAGAUGAUAUAUCAGCUUGAAAAGCUUUAAGAUGGGCAUCCUUAUUGUGUUUACAAAUCUCUGCCACUCUCUGUGACCCAAAAAAAAAAAAAGAAUCAUUGAGAGCAUCAUGUAGAGCAAAGAAGCUAAAACGGAUGCCGCACAACAAGUACCUCUGACAACCUGUGAGCAGACCGUCCAACUGCAGAGAAAGCAUAAAUUUCAGUUAAAUAAUUGUACCUGCAUGGAUCAAAACUCAUUCUUCUUGUAACAAAGAAAAGAUGCAUUUUGCAUUAACUCUAAGGACAACAAACAGUCAUUCGUACAUUAUUUGUCACAUUAAGCAAUUGACAAGCUUUUCUCUUUGCUUGAAUCACCAAGUAAAGACCAGAGAACAUUCAUAUAUCUACCCAUAACUCUUCCUAUGAGAGUGUUCAUCACAGACUGGUGGCAUUUAUGUAGACAGCCUAUUUUUUUUUCCUCCUAAUGUAGCUAUCAUCAGGAUGAUCCAGCACAAGCAAUCACAGAAAAUCCAGGCAUGGGGUUGAACUAAGUGUUGCUACAUCCAUAUCAAAGGAAUGAGGAGGAUAAACCACAGACUGCGACAUUACCAAGGACAACAACGAAACCUUCUUUUGAAAGAGCAUAAGCAGCCGCUGCACCCAAACCAGAUGUAGCCUGCAGGCAAAAGGCAGAGAAAGCUCUCAGUAGGAUAAUCUAAUUGAGGACAUUUGCUACUAGCAAAAGAAAUCCGUCUUACGCCGGUGAUAAUGCAGAGAGGUCUCAGAGGAACUUCUAUGUUGGCAUUUCGAGGGUAUGAAACAAUUCGACCAAAAAGACCACGGCUGAAGAAUUGCCAGUAUGAGGCCAGCAAAGAGAACGUCCAAAGUACUGCCAUUAUCCAGAAGUCUACUGUACAAAUGAAACAAAAAGCCUCGACCAACUCCUUUGACAUUAUUCUCAUCUUUGCCACCAUGGACUUCUUACCUGUGUUGGCAAAGUGAAAACAACAAAACAAAUUCAGGAUACUAAUAAAUCCAACAGAAAAGUAUAUGCGCACGGUAAAGUCCUAAAGUUUAUUGGAUUAGGUAGUGGAACUCGAAUUUAAAUCAAGUGAAUGUCACAAUUAAGUACUGGAGAGACCCAAUCUACGGAGAAAACACGCACCCUUACAUGACCAGUGCAGCAAAAUGAGUGCCUUGUUAUUUGACAGUCAGAGUUGAGACCUCAGUGUUCAGUCUACAGGAAAAGUUUUAGCAACCUCGAGAGAGGUAAGAACUAGGCAGAUCUCACUAUGCAACCAUAAAUCAACUAACUUCAGGUGUACUUUCAAACAAAUUCUUUGACCAAGCAUCUGAGGGAAAUCAACAAUACAGAGUUCAACAUUCUAGUUCGUAAAUACUUUGGCCUUUUCAUUGUCAUGUAUGAAUGACGGUUUCCCUAUUGUUUAGAAUGUACAGCUUUGAAGUGUCUUAAUGCCACCUUGUCUUCCCACCACAGCAAACACAGACCCAGGUAAAGGAAUCAAAUGUUAAAUCCAGUCUUAAUAAAUUUACACAUCACAACACACAACCCAGUGAGCUUACUUCAUCGGUUAGAGUCACCAUGCUCACCCAGAGUAACAAGCACACCAUCAAAAGUAAGAUUAACAGAGAUAGCAAAUGAUAUAGCUUGUUUCAAAAUGAAAUUCUGUUCAUUUCCAAGCUCCAGACUUUCCACAUCAAAGCUUGACGUCUACUCACCCUAAACAGACGCAGCUAUAAAAUUAUCAUCUACCAGCAGAACUCGUGAAAUUCCACACAAUUCAAACGGGCCUACACGCACGUCACCGACCUAGACACGUUCCCUAUUAAACAUUAAACAAUCACCACCCCAAAUCAUCUCCAAGCUCAACGUCCUCACCAUGCAACAGCUCCAGAGCUCCAAAAAGACCCAACAAGUUUUUCGCCAACCUUCACGUCAACUCAAGCUCCCCCGCUCACUUCCUCCCUGACAAUACACACCCCCCACGAAGCGCGCUCUAAGAAGCAUUACGUCAAACACAUUGGGGACAUCGAAACUCCGGGCAGAGUUCUCCCACGAACCCAACGCAAAUGGGCAUCCACGAAAACAGGAACUUGCAGAGAGGCGAACGCGGGCGCUCGUGCAGAUCACUGUAAAGCUAUUGCAACGAAACGUGAAGGGUUGCGCCGGAAACGAAAGGGCGACUCACGGGGAACGUGAAAGGGUCGAAGGAACGAAGGAAGGCGAGAGCAGAGACGGGUCGCCUCGACUCGACACGGUUCUCGUCGAAACCAGGAGAGUCUUGAGAUUGACUGGAGGAAAAAUCCGAGCUUUACAAAAAGUUAGAUGCAGGAUGAGACGAACAUCCGGUUCUUCAACCCGAGUAAAAGCGUUGACACUAAGGGCAAACUUUUCCUUGCAUAUUAGGGAGAAUUAAGUGGGAAAUUUUCGUUUAUCGAAUUCGCCAACAUGUUUUCCAAAAAAAAAAAAAAGGAAAAAAAGAAAUCACUAACGUAAUUUCAUUCACUAUCACCCCUUUUGAAAAAUCAAAUCCAUGCAUGGGACCGAUUAAAUUUCAUUCGUCAAUCAGUACUCUUUUGUAUGAGAACUUGAAGAAAGAAUGACUCGCAAAAUACAUAAAAAAAAAUGGAACAUCACAAGAUAUGCAAAAAUUACUGUAAAAGAAUCAUAGAUUACAUGUUCUAACAAAAAGGAAUCAUUUAUUGCAUUUGUGUGAUGUAAACUAUACUGGAAUUAUUUCUUGUAAAUCUUGAGAGUGGUAGUAAUUGUGUCAACAUUUGGAAUCCUAUUAGGGAUAAAUAUAUUGAAAAUAUUAAAAUUUGUCACGAAGUUACAAUUUAACCCUAAAAUUUGACCAAAAAAAAAAUUCCAAUCAAAUUCUAAAAUUUGUUACAAAGUGUAAUUGAAUUUUUAAAACUUUUAAAAAGUACAUUCAAGUUCUAAAUUUUAUUAACAUUUUUCGUUUGUCAAAUUUGAUGGAGUUUAGGAAAAUACUUGAUUAUAUUAACUUGUCAAGUUGGCUUGGGCCAAGUUUGGCAUACCUAUAGUCCGUCGGAUCCAUGUUAAGGUCUACUAGCUUUGACCCUCCCUAGCUUUUGGGCUGGAUUGGGUCGCUGCGCCCAGCCCUUGCAGGAUCUCUCUCUCUCUCUCUCUCAACUUUCCCUAUGUGUUUUUUGGUUACUUUAACAUUUUUAUUUGUCUUUUGAAUUAAUGAUCUCACGUGGCAUGGUUCAAAUUACUGGGGUGUCAGAACCAAAACCAAAACUAAAAUCUAACCGAAAUUUCAUGCAUUUUUUAUUUGAUUUGGUUUUGGUUAGGAUAAUAGAAAGAUAACGGUUAUUUGUUUUCGAUUUGGUGAAUCGAACUGAAAUCCUUAAUACAAAUAAAUGCACAACUUAAAAUCCCUCCUUUUUCUCAUCUCUUAUUCUAUUUGAUUCCAAUGAGAAGGUAAAAAUCAAAAAACCAAAAACUGAAAACUGAAUUGAAAAUAAUCCAAUCGGAUUUUUAGUUCAGUUUGUAUUUGAUUCAGAUCGCAACUUGGUUUGCUUUAAUUACUUAUCUUAUCAGUUCGGUUUGGUUCGGACUUUAGGACAUUCGAACUAAAUCGAAACGUUGACGCCCCAUUAGCCACAUAGAUGAAGUCAUGUCUAUAAUUCAACAACGUUAAUUAUGAUGGUUGACGACAGAGUCAGCAAGAUGCAAAAGAUAUAGAAAUACAUCAAAAGAAGGAAAAAAUAGUUAGAGGACCCAAUCGCAGGAACAUCAGUACUAUAUCGAGAACAAAAAAUUGCUAUGAACUAAAUCAUACAUUAAAAGUAGGAAACAAGGAGAACUAACACGACCGUUAAUAGCAGCAUUGACAUCUAUGUCCAUGGAGAAUUUUUCUUACGCAACUACCACAGGUGGAUCCCAGCUAAUUUGCUGUCUAUCUAAUCCCGGGUGAAAACGGUCGGGCCUUGGUUCGGAGCCGUCGAGGACACACGACCAUCCUCAACGCUCCAAGCUCGUCCUCCUCCGGCGCAGUGGCUCGGCCUCAUAUCCUCUAAGCUUCACGGCUUUGUAAGUCACGGCGCCAGCUAUGGCUCCGAGCGGAGGAGCCACCAUGUACAUCCACAAUCCUUUGUAGUUCCCUGCGGCCACGGCCGGGCCGAGAGUCCUCACGGGGUUCAGGGAACCUCCGGUCGGCAUCCUGCAUUUCCCGGGAACAUUGUUAAGGAACAUUAUGAAAGCUAAAAUUCUGUAACAACGCGUCCAUACUUGCACGCCCGAAGGUGAGUAGUUUCAGUACAAUGCUUACCCUGUCACAAGAACGCCAAGCAGCACCGUUGCUCCGAUUGCAAUACCUGCCAAAUCUCCUACCUAUCAUCAGAAAAAAGGAACAAAUGUAAGUGAAAUGGAUACAUGCUGUAUACAGAUGCCACGAGUACAGAUAGAGGAAGAGUCGAUAUGCAGCAUGGCGACGUACUGCACGAGUGUCGGUCACCACCGCGACGAUCACGAACGCGAGAAUGAAAGUGGCGAGAAACUCGAGAGCAAACGCCUGUCCGAUGUCCACCGAAGGCACCGUGACGCCGCCGUUGGCAAAGGGAUGGAAAACGCCCUUGAGGACGUAGGAAGCACACAUCGAGCCCGCAACCUGCGCCGCGAUGUAGCCAGGCACCUGGAUCCAUGGAAAGUGCCAGAUCACCGCGAGGGCGACUGUCACCGACGGGUUCAGGUGGGCUCCUGAAAUGUGACCGAUCGAGAAAACUAUGAUCAUCACGGCGAGCCCAGCGCAUGCCGCGUUCCCAAGCAACGUCUCUGCUCCGUUGUACUUUUGGUUCACAAUGGGCCCGCCCACCGCGCAAAGUACUAAGAAGAAGGUUCCAACGAACUCUGCUCCGACCUGCAUCGUUCAUGUAAAUCUAAAUAAGAAAAUCUAUCCUAUCUUUCUUUCUUGGUUUCACUCGCUAUGAAAAGGCAUAAGAAUUAUCAGUUUAUGCUGCAACAGCUAGCGAGCCUGUCUAAUCUUUACUGAUCUUUGAGGUCGAUUGGGCUUUACCUUCCGCAACGAAUCAUACUUAUCCGGCUGGAGACGCCGAACACCUUCCGUUGCACCGUCACUCGGCGCACACCACUUGCACUGUACCACGGACCCGUCCUCCGGCAACGAUGAGUCCACUUGCAACGUCACAGAUGCCGGUUGGCACAUCUUCUCUUGCCUGGACAGCUCGAUGGAGAUUAAGGGAGACCAGAGGUCGCGAAUAAAGGAUCAAGAGAUCGAUGAGAAGAGAGAUCAAGACGAGAGGGAGCCUUCAGUCUGUUGCCUCCGUCUAUGAUAGUUGAUUGCAGCGACCCCAAAAGCAUUUUAUAGGAGAGAAGACAACGGCUUUAACAUCGCCAACAUCAUCUUCUUGUUCACUAGUUCGGCUUGUUGACUCGCUCCAUAGGAUUCGGUCAUUCAUAGUAGUUCGGACUGUCUGCACCUUGACUAGAUCUAGGGUUACUCUAUACAAGUAAUGAUUUGACUCGGUUUGGCAUGCUCAGAAAAACUUGGAGGGCACGUUUCUAUUUCUGAAAUUUAGGUGUGCAAGUCUACAUUUGUGGACCAGAUAUUGAAUAUUUAAGACCGAUUCUAUAAAGAGAAGAUCCAUCAAAACGUAUUUUCUUUUUUUUGUUUGGGGGGGAAGAGUUAAGGGCUGCGUUUGUUUUGAUUUCUUUUUUCUGUUUUUAAACAAUUUUUUUUGUUUUUUUGUUCCUGGGAACAAAAAAGGAACAGAAACGCGUUUGUUUGCAUUUUUAUUCCAAAAUUAUUUUUUUGUUCCCAGAAACACAUCUGGAACAAAAACAAGAAACAAAAAAAAAAGUUGUUUCUUGUUUCUGGAACAAAAUUUAGGAACACUUUCUUCUUCUCUCUUUUUUCUUCUUCUUUUCUUCUUCUUUUUUCUUUCUUUUUUCUUUGGCCGGUCGCCGGCCUCAACAAUUGAACCUUCUCAAACUGUUUCUUCUUAAGAACCAAAAAUAUUUGUGCCAAAAUAACAGAUGCCAAGAAGAACAAAAGGCCUUGGACACGGAAUGGAUCUUGAAGUACUAUUUCCGCAUCUCCUUGACCAAAUCCACCCACAUUAGGAUUACUCGUUAAUGGCUGAUCAAGUUUGAUAGAUUCGCCUUCGGAAACAAGAAGUUCUGGCCCUGGUGGAAUAAUAUCAACCACUUGACGUUCAUCUGACGCAUCCGAUAUGGUUAUUUCGUACCCCCCUUUUUCUUUUCGUAUGAUUUUACUUACUACACCAGCCGCUGUAGCAUUAUAAACUGUAUUGUUACUCUUGCUCCCAUCGGGAUAAAUCUGACCCAUUCCUCUGUUCCCGCCUACAUAUAUGGGAUAUUUUAAGAAGUGAACAUCUUUAUUAGUAGCGGGGUCCGGGGAAAGAAUAGGAAAGGUGACUUCACUAUAUUUCUGACCAGAAACAGGACCUAUCACAAGAAUAUUUUUUUUAUUGGGGCGAUAGCUCUGAAAAGACAGAUUGCCUAUCUUUUCUUUCAUCUCGGGCGAAAUACGAUCGGGAGGUGCUAAUUCAAAUCCCUCAGGUAAAAUAAGAACAGCCCCCACAUUCAAACCUCCCAUUUUACCAUUAGCAAGAACUUGUUUAACUUGCAUAUCAUAAGGAAUUCGAACAACUGCUUCAAAUACAGUAUCAGGAAGUACCGCUUGCGGAACCUCAAUAUCCACGGGCUUAUUAGCUAAAUGGCAAUUGGCACAUACAAUACGUCCGGUCGCUUCUCGUGGAUUUUCAUAACCCUGUUGUGCAAAAAUGGGAUAUGCAUUUGAAAUGGAUGUCCGAGCUAUGAUAUAUAUCAUCAGCGAUACGGAAAUAGAUCGAAUAAUCUCUUUCUUUAUCCAAGAAAAGGUGUUUUUAGUUUGCAUGGUCCAAUCAUUGAUCCCGAAAAUUUCUACAAUAAAAUUAGGUAGGUCGCUUGUAUAGUUCCCUAUCCACAAUUCUGCUAUUUACUUUAUUGAAAUCAUUUUACUGGAAUAUAAGGAGUAGGAGAAAUCCCUGUAGGGUAGAAAGAGUAAGUACGUCUUAAAAUGGAAAUGCUUUGCUUAUGUACCUUAUGUUACAAAGUAACAAAUAUUCUAGUUAGAUCAGUCAUUCAUUGAAUGAUAAAUCACUACAAGUGAUGGAGAUAUACGAUUUAAAUAGCGGAAGAUCCAAUAUUUAAAAAUUGUAUCCAGAAUGACUGGAAAAGUAGAAACAAGACCCGAUAUAAUUUGAUCGUUGUGAGCAAAUCCAAAAUCUUUGUAGACAUAGCCAAUCAUUAGUUCCCAACCAUGGGGCGAAUGGAAUCCGAUACAUAAAUCAGUUAAUAAAAGAAUAGAAAAAGCUUUUAUUGUGUCACUUAAGUUAUAUAGGAAUUCUUGAACCCAAGAGUUAAGAAUAGCAAGUUCUUCAUUACCCAGAAUAGAAUAACCACUUAAAAUAAUGAAAGAGGUUAUAUUUGUCGAUAAGUGAAAAAUCAUAUGGAUAUGAUCCUCAUUGUGCAUCUUGAUCAAUUGGAUCGUUUCUUUGUGGAUUCCUAUACGAAGUGUUUGUAGAUGUGUUUCCGGGUAUUCUUUUAUCAUUUCGUCCAAGAGUAAGAGUUCUUCCAAUUCGAUGAAUUUUUCUAGAAUACUCUUUUCUUGAAUAUCAGUCAAAAAAGUUUCGGAUUGCCUAGUAUUCCACCAAUUAGUAAUCCAAAAUUCAAGACUUUUAUUAAAUGAGAGAGAGAUCCACCAGGGCAAAAAUACUAUAGAUGUAAGAUAUAGAAGAGGAAGAAAUGCUUUCUUUUUUACCAUUUUUUCAUCUUUGAAUUGUUAAUGAAUCCACCUCAUUUGUUGAAUCUAUGUGAUCUACUAUUUCUAUUAACCCUAAGUUCUAUUACAGGGCAUCGGGCCUCGGCCAUGGCCGGCGACCGGCAGUCGAGGGCCGGUGAGGCCGAGCGUCGCCGGCCCUUGGUGAGGCCGACCUCGCGCCGAGCUAGGCGAGCUCGGCCUCGCCGGGCCACUGCCAGGUCGGCAUCGCCUGGCAGUGGCCCGGCGACGCCGAGCCUCGCCAGCCACUGAUUGUCACUUGCUUUUAGUCAUGCAUUCAAAACUGUAAGAUUCAUGCACUAUAAGAUAACCAGACAAGCGAAAAAAUGAUGUGCAUUUCAGUUGAGGUGGCAAGACCAAUUAGAUUGAAUUCAAACCAAAUAAAGCUUGACGCAUAAAAGAGAAAUGUUGUGCAUUGAGCGAAUAUAUGACAAAAUAAGUGCAAAGAGAGUCAUUGAUGUUCUAGCACUUUGGCCAAUUGAGUUCUUAAAAUUUUACUUUGCUUAAUUGAAUCCUUAGCAUUUUCAAUUUUAAUCAAUUGAGUCCCUCAAGCUUGAUCCUCGGAAAUAGCCACAUGGCUAUGAUUUUCCAAGUUGAUAAGAAGAUGCUCGACAAUAAAACCAGGUGAGCCUCUCAAGGGCUUCAUUGGCAUAAUCAUCAGUAUCACUUCGAUUUUUGGGUAUACGUGCUACACCGCACAGAGGUCUAUCAUUUCUUGGAUAUACUUCAUACCUCCCGUAGUGCUACCCGAAACGGUUUUCAUACCUGCAAAAAGUUCAUUGUGAGCAACUUACUUUCUUCACCUAUCAGGUAUCAAUAUUUCAUUCAGUAAUGAGCUUUGAGAACAAAAACAUACCGAGGUUAAGGCUUGCUGCAUUGAAUUUAAUUUCGCUUUGGGACCCAACCGAUGCUAGAACGCCACCCGUCUUCAAAAGAGACAUGUAAGGAUCAAAUGGGUGAUCAGCAGAUACCGUGUCAAUUAUAAAGUCCAGGGACUUAGCCAUGGCUUGCAUGUUACGAUUCAUCAGAUCACGGCAGCACUUGACAUCCAUGGAUCUAAAGUAUUAAUAAUUCAAAAUCUUCCCGUUUACCUUCAUAUGUUCUUGGUCAGAUGAGAUAACGAAAUGGUCAGCACCAAGCAAGCUCAGUGCUUCCUCCUUUUUAGAAAUGCUUGUACUGAACACGGCAACUUUCAGUCCAAAAGCCUUCCCAAGCUUAAUUGCCAUCUGACCGAGCCCACCAAGUCCAAUUACGUCGAAAGACUUACCCGGUUGGUUCAUCUUGUGACGCACCAUUUGAAUGUAUACUGUGAUUCCAUCACAGGGCAAUGGUGCUGCUAAAGCCAACGGGUAGUUUUCUGGAAUCCUAAGGCAAUACCUGUCAAUGAAGCACCACAAUUAAGUUUCCAAAUCAUGUAAUUUUUCUAUUCCCCUCGAUCAUGUCUCUAAGGGACACGAUAUUCCUGUGACUGUUGGAUACAAGAAUCCGUGAAAGCAUAUACAUUUCAUUACCCAUUUGAUCUAACACUUACUAUCUAACUCUUGGGAACAAUCUAAAAAAAGGGAGGAAGCGGAGACAAAAGGCAAGGAUUGAGCAAUUUCCAUCUCUCUCUCUCUCUCUCUCUCUCUCUCUUUUAAUUAAGGGUUAAUAUCCUAAAAAAUCCCAAAUUGGUACACAUGUAACAAAUUUACCUUGACAGACUAUAAAAAACUCUAAACUUAUAUAUUUAUGACAAAUUUACCCCAAACUAAUUUAUUUGACCGCAAAAAAUCUCAAAAUGGUAAAUUUGUAACAAAUAUACCCUUCACUAAAUUGGAUUAAUACCACAAAAAGAUCACAAAAAUUGUAAACCGUGACAAACGGAGCAUGAAAUCUCAAAUUGGUAUUACUAAUCAACUGUCACGUGCCAUUUAACUUAAUAAUUUGACAGUAAAAUUUAAUGAAAACUAAUAGAGGGUAAAUUUGUCACAAGUGUACUAGUUUAGAGUAUAUUUGUCAAAAGUAUACCAGUUUGGAGUUUUUAGUGGUCAAAAAACUAGUUUAGAGUAAAUUUAUCAUAGGUGUACCAGUUUUGAGUUUUUUAGGGUAUUAACCCUUUAAUUAAUUUAGUUUUAAAUUUAAUGUUAUUAAUGUUUCAUGAAAAUUCAUAUGUUAGAUUUAUUGGCUCACAUGUCAUUGUCACUUGAUGUGUAUGAUAUAUAGAAUAGUCCAAGAGUUUUGACUUUAGAUGCUUGGGAACUCGCGAAUGGUCAUACAUUGUCGGUUACACAUUCAAUAUGAUGUAUUAGCUAAUCAUAGUCCUCUAACGGUUUAUAUUUGCUUAAUAUAUUUCAAGAAUAUUCAUUUGUUAGACUUGUCCGCUCACACGCCACUGUCACUCGAUGUAUAUGAUAUGCAGAAUAGUCUAAGAGCUUUGACUUUAGACACUUGGGAGUGUCUAUGCUUGUUUUAUGUCUGUUAUGCUUGCAAUGCUUCUGGUUUUGAGUGGACAGUACAAAUAUUUAAGUCCAUGUCAAUUUGAACAAUUUUCUUUAUUAUAGAGCAACCGUCUUUAAUCUAUUGUGUUCUUGACCACAAAAAACCAAAUAACAAAUAAGUAUUAAUUAUUGUAGGGUCCAACAACAAUCUUUAAUCUAUUGUGUUCUUGACCACAAAAAACCAAUUAACAAAUAAGUAUAAAUUAUUGUAGGGUCCAACAGCAAUCUUUAAUCUAUUGUAUUCUUGACAACAAAAAACUAAAUAAUAAAUAAGUAUACAUUAUUAUAUGGCCCACUCCUUUAAAAAUUUGUUGCUCACAACAACUUAUUUAUUCUCAUAAUAACCCAAAGUUAUGCUAGCAAAGCUCUUUUGAGUAAGUGUAUUGAAAGUUUUAAAAACUUGUCACUAAAGUGCAUUAAGUCCUGAAACUUUCAAAAAAUACAAUUUAAUCCUAAAAUUUGUCACGAAAUGCAAUUGAGUCUUAAAAUUUUCAAAAAGUAAAAUCAAUUAUAAAGAUUUAUCAAUAUUAUAAGGGACAAAACCAAAAGCUGCAUGCAAUAAAUCAGACAAAAUUCAUUAAUUUAUGACCAUCAAGCAAGCGUCAGACAUUAGCAAAUGAAUGUAUUAGCAAUCGAAAAUACAUCGAAAACAAAAAGUUAAAAGCUCAUAUCUACCUUUCAUUCUUAUGCUUUGUAAGCCCCUCUGACCUUAGUGACCGCAAGGAUUUUACUGUGGACUCAAUGAGAUCCAUCUCAAGCUCCACCCUUUCAUGUGUCCAGCACUGAAGCAAAAGGAAAAUCGCAAUAAUGCGAUGAGGAUGAAACUAACCCAUUGAAUUUCUGAGUAAUCCAUCAAGUACAAGUUACCCAUCAUUCGGCCACUAAGCUCCUCCACUAUGGCCCUCAAUUGCUGGAUGCUUACUACGAGCGCUUCAUCCCUUCGUAUGAAGUCAACAUUUCUUUGAUUCACACUUUCUUUGCAUGACAUAUUUUAAACCUACAAGUAAACGUUAGUCACAAAAAUCCUCACCAAUUGCUCCCUCACGUGUUUCUCUCAAUGUGUUUGUCACUCCCCUCGUGUUUAACUCAAAUUUAGGCUUUUUCCCUCUCGUAUUCUCUUUUCACAAGUUCUUUAUUGGACUCAAAAUCAGUCUCUCAGCCCCCUCACGACAAUCAAUCAAAAUAAUCAAACAAGAUUAGAUUACUAUUAAUUUUGUUUCAGCAAGUAACAAUUUCAAACCAACAAGUAUAACUUUCGAAAUUCUAAUUGAAACGCAAAUCACUACUGAUUUUGUUUCAAUUCGGUCCACAGUCGCCUUCUUGAUUUUUUUUUGUUCAGCUUUUUUUUUCUGCUGAAUCUUUUUUUUUUCUCUAGCGCACUUUUUUUUUGUGUGCGUUUUCUUUCUCUUCUUUUUUUUUUUUUACGAACUUUCUUUGUUUUUUUUUCUUUCUUUUUUGACAAACUCAGAUACAAUUUAAGAUGAUAGGAAAAAAAAUAUUAAAACUAACAGCAAACAAUUACGUAUGGAAGCACAAAAGUAAUCAGAUCCCUAAAUUGGCUAGAACCGAAACCCUAACUCAAUAAAUCUCAAAUUGCUGAAUAUAAACAGAAAAUUAAAGAUAAAUAGACAUUGUAGAAGUAAGCUCUGAUACCAAAUGAUGUCAAUCGUUGUGGAAAAAUCAUUCUACGAAGGCCUGGAUGGUGCGAAUUGCAAACCUCGACCUCCAAUCAAACCUGUGAUUGAUAACCUCGAUAUGAACGUGAUCAAACCUACGAUUGAGAACCUCGGUAUGAACGUGACCUAUUGACAAACGCAUGUCAACCAACCAAACCCACGAGCGAAAGAAUAAGGUUAAGUUCUCAAAAAAUAGUAGAAAAGAAUCUCUCAACUUUUUUCAUCCAUAUAUAUAUAUAUAUAUAUAUAUAUAUAUAUAUAUUGACUUGGUCAAAUAUUUGAUGAUCAGAUAAUCAAAUUGUGCAAAGAUUUCUAAGAUUCUUCAAGAUUUAAUCCAAAGCCAUCUCUACGCCGAAGAUCAUGAACCAUGACGCUAACAGCUUACUUGAAUUGCUUGGCUCGUGCUCGAGUAAUUGAACCAGUAGGAAUAGACAAUGGGUCUCUAGCACCACCUCAUCGAUAUGGCUUGAUGUCCACAUCAUAAUGCAUGCGAAGGAACAAGCCGAUUGCCACUUGAUGUUAGUCAUUCAUGCAAAACUGUAAGAUUCAUACGCUAUAAUAUAGCCAAACAAGCAACCAAAAAAAAAAAAUAAAAAAUAAAAAACUAAAAAAAUGAUCUGCGUUGCACUUGAGGUGGCAAGGGCAAUUAGAUUGUAUUGAAACUAAAUGAAGUCCGUUGCAUUAAAAAGACAAUCAAAUGAUGCAUUGAUCAAACCUUCUCUUCCUUCUUCUUUUUCCUCUCCAGGUCUUCCACGCCUUCCGACUUGUUAUCCGGUUGAGACUGCACGACCCACAUCGACUCAUCAAUCUGAUCAUUACAAUCAUAGACUUGCCAUUUCCACAGCUAACCCAAUAACUCAAGCUACAAUCAGACGAGCUUCCACCCAAGAAAACAUACCAUUUCGAUGGUUGGUAAGCGUGAGACUGCAACCAAAGUUCGAUUCCGACAAGAGAAAGCACCGGGACAGAUGGUUGAGCUCCGUUUAGAAGUAGACCCAACAGCCGCCGGCGAACAAGGGUGGCGACCGUGACUUCAAAGAGACGACUUGACGGCGACCGAGCUCGGCGGAGGCGAGGGCGGCGGGACUUGUCAGCAGGGAUUUUUCUGACAGUGUCAGACUGGCACGACUCUGACGUUUUUUUAAUUAACUAAAGAAAGAAAUUCGUAAUACGACGUGGGCAGCCCGCAGGAGGGCGAAAUAAGAGUUUCCUGUUCUUAUUUUAUUUUAUUUUUAGCCUUUUCUGCUUAUUAGCAAAUAAAAUUUAUUAAUUUGACACGAACAUAUAGUGGUGUAUUUCCUACUAGUAAUAUAAAUUUAUAGAUUUUAAGGGAAGACUUGGAUCGUAAUUGUCAUUGGAGAGGAAGUGAAUGAUGAUAUAACAUGAGUUAAUAGACGUAAGUGAAAAAUGUCACAAAAGAAAUCGUGUUCCGAUAUUAAUUUUGUCAAUAUAUUGAAAAGGCAACAGGUUUCGUAUUCUUCUGGACAGAAAUGAAAGGUCAAAGGGAAACGAGAAGGACUGAGCAAAUAAAUGACAAAAUAUGAGCAAUGGAAGUCAUUGAUCGUUUGCCGUUUGACUGAUUGGAUUCUAAAUAUUUUAUUUUCAAUUGGGGUCUAAAUAUUUAUUUGGUCCAAUUGACUUCUAAACAUUUCCAAUUUUAGUCAAUCACGUCCCUCGAAUAUUAUUGUCGGAAAGAGCCACAUGGCUGUGAUUUUCCAAGUGGCCAAGGAGAUGCUUGAGGAGAAAACCUGUAGGAGAGGCGAAGCCAUUCAAGCAGAACUCUCAAGAAGCCAAUUUUUCAGACAGUUUCUCAAUCAUCACAUAGAAAAGUACCAGGAUUUCAUUACCCAUUUCACUUAUUUCUGCUAUAAAACUUACGGGUAUCGAAGUAUAUCAGGCAUAGUUUAUUUGUACUCCAGCAGAGAUAGUAAAAAGGCACAGAUGAUGCUCUCCUCUAGCUGAAACUCCCACUUUUCCUCUCUGUGUGAUCAGCUUUGCCAGCAACAAUUUCCAACUUCCCAAAUUGAUGUUCAAAUUUAAUCAAAUAGACUCAGAGAAGAAAACACACGAGAAUUGUUGCUAUAACUCUUGUUACUUUAUUCAUCAAAACAUCCAAAUCACUUAGCAAGAAAAUAGCUAUAGAACAACAACAACAACAAAGACCCACUGACAUACCCCACCGACCAAACAUGUGGAGAAACUAACUCCUACAAAAAAGCCACUUCCUAUUGACUAGGACUCCACUAUUACAUUAUUGAAGACACGUAAAAACUGUAAGUUAACUACUUCAACAAUUGAUGGUGUCACUUCAAGGAGUUCUCAAUGUCGAUCACGAAUCGAUACUUAACAUCUCUCUUGAUGAGCCUCUCCAGAGCUUCAUUGGCAUAAUCAAUCGGUAUCACUUCAAUAUUUGGGUAUAUCUUCUGCGCUGCACAUAGGUCUAUCAUUUCUUGGGUAUCCUUUGUUCCUCCCGUUAGGCUACCUGAAACAGUUCUCAUAUCUGCCAAACGUUCACCACGAGCAACUUAGUUCACCUAUCAGGUAUGAAAUUUCAUUUAGUAAUCAGAUUUGAGAACAAAAACAUACGGUGGUUAAGGCUGGCUGGACUAAAUUUAACUUCGCUCGAGCCGACCAAUGCUAGAAUGCCACCCGUCUUCAAAACAGACAUGUAAGGAUCAAAUGGGUGAUUGCCGGCUGCCGUGUCGAUUAUAAAGUCUAGGGACUUAGCAAUGGCCUGCGUGCAUUGGAUUUAUCAGAUCACAACAGAAUUUGACCACCAUGGAUCUCAAUGUGGAUAAUUCUAGUUUUUCCUUUUUUUACCUUCAUCUGCUCUACGUCAGAUGAGAUAACGAAAUGGUCAGCCCCAAGCAGGCUCAGUGCUUCCUCCUUUUUAGAAAUGCUUGUACUGAACACUGUGACUUUUAGUCCAAAAGCCUUCCCAAACUUAACUGCCAUAUGACCGAGCCCGCCAAGUCCAAUUACACCUAGAGACUUACCGGGUUGGUUCAUCUUGUGACGUAUCAUUGGAGUGUACACCGUGAUUCCAGCACAGAGCAGUGGCGCUGCUAGAUCCAUCGGGUAGUUUUCUGGAAUCCUGAAGCAAUACCUGUCAAUGAAGCACCACAAUUAAGUUUCCAAAUAACACCAAGAGAGGAAGUGAUUUCCCAAUAGAAUCAGCAUCCUGUCUUUUUUGUCUAAAAGGAAUCAAAUCACAGAGCCAGAAAUCCUAUCUUCCGCAUGCUUGGGAAUGUUACUUGCUUAGACCACAAUUCAGCAUCAUGUUGUUUCCGUGAUCCUUGUUCUGACCACAAAUUGCUCAAGACAAACAUUUCUUGCUGUAGCAACGAAAAUAACUCGAUUAAAAUUAAGAAAAGACACUUGCUCUAAGAAAGGAAACUGGUGGCAUAUCACAUAUGCUUGACUGAACACGUAAUUUCUCUAUUUCUUUCAAUCAAUUCCUCCGAAGGACUCAAGAUUCCUGUGGCUCUAUCAGAUACAAGAAUUAGUGAAAGCACAUACAUUUAGCUACCCAUUUGAUCUUAUACUUAUGAUCUAACUUUAACAAUCUAAGGACAGCUUAUUCCAUUCUUGACAAUGGUUAUUGAAAAGAAAGAAUUUCUUUUUGCAUUUAAUAAAGCCAAUUCUCCAUUGAAUGGUCUGAAUGGUAAUUGGAUACAGAGGACUUAAAGACCCUCCAGAGCCGUUAUAGAAAGUAUCUUUAUCCUUUUCCACAAGAUGCAUUAUGCUACUUCUGGUCACAAUCAGAAUACGAAGAAAAUUAGCAGAGAAGAAGACAUGACAUGAAAUCUUUUUUUGGCCACCAUGAUUUGAAAUUCUUUCACAGUGCAAAAUGCUGCCUAAUAACAUUGUGUUAAUAAGCAAUUACCUUUCAUGGACGACAAUGUGACUAGAAUAUCCUCCCUUUGUCACUGUACCGUCCGUAUCGAUUCGGUCAAAAGUCAAAACCAUCUUUUCACAAUGGACUUCUAGCCCGUCAUUGCAAUACUCGCACUCUCUGCAUGAAUUGACAUAAGUUCCCACACCCACAUGAUCGCCAACUUUGAAGCGUUGGACACUGGAGCCAACCUGUUUCACAAUUCCAACUAUCUCGUGCCUGAAUCAAUCAAAAAAGUCAUUCGCAAAUUUUGUUCAGAGAAUUAUUAGGAUGGUGCUAAGAAAAAAGAUUAACAUUCGAAUCACGCUGCAUCCUACCCUGGCACCAGAGGAUACUUGGAGGUUCCCGACAUAUUCCUAGUCCAAGCCACAUCUGCAUAGCACACUCCGCAGUGCGUGAUCCUAAUCGAGACGUCAUCGCUUCCCACGGUCCUAAAGAGAGAAUUCCCAAACAGAUGAGCAUCUAAUCAAGCAACUAAUCAGACUCAGUUACCUUUUGUUCUCAUUUUUCAGAUCAAUAAACUAAGCGUGACUUACAAUAAUCAUACAUUCAACCCAAAAAAAAAUUUAAGAAAAGAGAAAUGAAAAGGAACCAAAUCCAUGACUAUAGGCAUUUGUCUGAAUAGUACAUACAACCUCAAAUGCUCACAAAGGCAGCACCCGAAUCCUAAUGUCUGCCAUGAAGUUCUAAGCAACUCAUUCUGGGACAUGACAUAUCAUGCGUACAAACAAUUCUCUACCCAGAAAUUAGUGCAUACACAACAAAAUUUAUAAAAGAAAAACGAAAUGGUUUGGUCAAUGUGGAAAUUUAAAUAUAUGACAAGCAUCAAAAACUGUUUUGCAUUACAGGUGAGAGGAUAAGACCUGAGAACACUGUAUUGAGACUUAUUCAGACAAAUACUUCAAUAGAAAUUGAAAGUAUAAGGAGCAGAUGAAUUAAAUAAAGAACAGUGGUAACAGUAAUACCUGCGGCUGAAUUUGUAGGGGGAGAGACGUCCAGAAGGAUCUCUGGCAGCCCAACCAAGACAAUCUUCCUUCGCACCCUCUGAACUCAUCGUUCCUCACCGACCUCAACUGAAAUCGACCCACAAAAAAAUUGCUGUGUUAAUCUCUCAAUAAGCUGAAUUAUGGAAGAAGAAGAAGAAUUAUUUUCGUGAAAGAGAAAUGAAGAGAAAAUCAAACCGGAAAACAGAAGUUCAAAUGGUCAAAAGGCCAAAUGUCACGAAGACUUGGCAAUUCCGUUUCCGUGCAGACAAGAUUUUGCGGUCUGACUUUUGAGCAAAGAGCGAGAUUAGCAGAGAGCGAGGUUGAGCGCUCAAAAACCGUCACCUCUUUAUAGAUGCCAUAGCGUCGCCUGUUCUUGAUUUUUUUUUUCGUUUUAUCUUGUGGAAAAGAAUUAGUGCCAAACGUAAGCCAUUACCCUUCACUAGCCAAUGAAGUAUGCAGUGACGUCUUCUGGAGUACGGUUCUUGGUAUUUUUAUUUAUCCUCCCAAUAACAAUUGCAUUAUUAAUUUAUUCACACAUUAAAUAUGUCAAUAGGCAACAUGUUGACGCAUAAAAUAUGUCAUGAUCCUCUAGUGGUAUGUAUUCGAUUCAUCUAUUUUAAGAAUAUUCACCUUCAUCUAUUUUAAGAAUAUUCACCUUCUUCAAAGAUAGUGUUAGUAUAUGCGGAAACAUGUGUUUGAUAUGUAUGCAAGCAAAAGAACUAAGGGACAAUGUGAGCAAGAAAUAGUGGGACAAAGUAAUAAUAGGAAUGUGUAAAAGAGAAUGAGGCUGAGGCGGUGAAGGAGAGAAACUUGAAUGGAAGUCAACAAUAGUGGCUGAAGAAGAAACUAGUAUGUGGACAGCAAGAGUACUUGGAGAAGAAGAAAAUGAGUUGUCAGCUGUACUAUGGCCUAUGGCGGUGAAAAAGUCAAAAAUGUCAUGCUUGAAGUCGGUUGUAAUUGCCUAUAAAUAGGCUUGUCGUUCAUUUAUUUGGUGUGUGUGAGGUGAACCCUUCACCUUGUGUGGGGGUGAACCCUCCACUGUGAGAGGUCUUAAACCUCCGCUAGGACCAUAUGGAGAGUGACUAUUCAACACCUCCAUCAAAUUAUUUUGUCUUCUUCAAUAAGUUCUUGACAGCUGGAGUUUGAUGAAGAAACUUUGCUUCAUGCUUUCCGCUACUUGCUAUUUCCGAUGCACGUAGACUUCUCUAGCCUAUUCUAGGAUUUCUUCUUCAACUUGGGGUUUGCUUGCUUGUAUUCCCAUGUGAAUCUUCUAGGUUCAGCUAGCAACCACCAUUCUCAACAAUUCUAGACAAUCUUCAACAUGGAUGUUGCUACCAACGUUCUCGCCUUCAUGAUUAAGUUAAUAGUUUCUAAACAGUUUUAGAGAAAAUGGAUCAUAAUUUUCAACAUAUAGUAUUUUGGAGAGAAAAGUAUUUCAGCAGAAUUGUUCAAGGAUUUACAGAUCACUACAAUAUCACCGGAAGCAAAUAAUUAUCCAUCAUUGACAUGAACGAUAUAGCAAAAAUUCUUUUACUUGUUUACCUUAAGUUUAGCAAGAUCUGCUUAAACGACAACCUUGAGUAUCUUCAAUUCCCUUUCUCUUGCCUUCAAAAAGAUAUUGAAAUGCAACGCAGAAUCAAGACAGAUUGUCAUUAACAAAGCUGUAAAAGCCUACUCAAUCUGGCAAAAUUGGGGACAGUGUUUUCCAGCGAUCUUGACUACCUCGGUAGCUGCUGUGCAAAUGGAUAGGAAUGCAUGCAGAGGGACAAGCUGAUUGUUACCUACUUUUAGUCAUUCAUUUGAAACUGUAAGAUUCAUGUGCCAUAAGAUAGCCAAACAAGCGGGCAAAAAAUGAUGUGCCUUGCACCGAAGGUGGCAAGAGCAAUUAGAUUAAAUUCAAACCAAAAAAAGCUUGAUGCAUAAAAUGAAAAGUCAUCCAUUGAGCAAAAAAGGGUGCGUUUGGUAAGGUUUCUGUUUAAAAAUUGUUUCUGGGAACAUAAAUAAAAAAAAGUGUUUCUGUUCCAAGGAACAAGUUUUGAACAAAAAAACGCAUUUGGUAAAUCUGUUCUAGAAAUAUAAAAAAAAUAGAAACACGUUUGGUAAGUUUGUAUAUUUUUUUUUAUUUCUUUUAAUUUUUAAUAUUUUUAUUUUUAUUUUCUAUUUUCUUUCUUAUUUUUCUUAUUUAUUUUUCCUUUUUUUCUUAUUUAUUUUUCCUUUUUCCUUUUUUCUUCUUUUGGCCGGUCGCCGGCCUCGGCCAUGGCCGACGACCAGCCGACAAGGGCCGGCGGCCUCACCCAGCCAUGGCGAGGCUCGCCGGCCGCUGGGCGAGCUCGGCCUCGCUAGAUCUGGGCGAGAUCGAGCUCGCCCAGCCAGGCGCGAGGUCGGCCUCGCCGCGCUGUGCCGACGGUGACCCAGAGCCACACCAUCGUCUCCCUCCACCGCAUCGGUGACCGCGCUCGACGCCUCCUCGCCGCCACCGGAUCGGCGACCACCCCUCCGCCUCACGCCCGAUUGACGCAUCUGCAGGUCUCGAGCCUUCGUUCACCACCGCCACAUCAGAUCUCACCACGCCGUGACCCACGGCUUCGAGAUCCGCUCGAUCGUCGACCCCGCGCCGGCCCACGACUCGACCGGCCGUCCUCGCCGCUCCGCUCCUAGACGUCCGCCGCUCGAGACCCCACGGCCGAGCCCCGCACCGCAGCCGCCGCCGCCGCCCAGCGACCCGCGACCCAGCUCCGUCACCCGCUCACAGGUGGAGAUGCUCGCAGCGGCUGUCGGCGCCGGAGAGGACGACGGUGGAGAAGCCGGAUGGUCUCGAGACAGAGGCGGCUGUCGGCGCCGGAGAAGACGACGGUGGAGACACUUGCAGAAGGAGAGGCUCGCAGGAGAACACGAUUUUGUUUCUUUUUUGUUCUUCAAAUAUGUUUCAGAAAUAAGAAAUAAGAAAUUCUUGUUUCUUAUUUUUGUUUGUUUCUUAUUUUUGUUCCCUUUUUGUUUCUAGGAACAAAAAAACAAAAAAGAAACAGAAAUGCACCCAAACGCGUUUCUGUUCCUUUUUUGUUCCCAGAAACAAAAAAAUAGAAAUUUUUGUUCGUGGGAACAGAAACACGGUGCAAACAAACGCGCCCUAAAUGACAAAGUAAGUGCAAUGAGAGUCAUUGAUGUUCACGCCAAACGUAUGCCAUGACCAUUCCUUAGCCGAGAGAAUGUAAGCAGCGACAUCUUCUAGAUAGUGGUUACUGGCAAUUUUUUUUUUUUUUAUCCCCGGCCUGAUCAAAUUAUCCGAGUUAUAAACUCAGAAAGAAGUUAAUGAGCAAUCUACCGCUAGGACCUAUGAAGGGUCAUAUGUUGUUGGUUACACAUCGUGUUGGAAUAUAAUAUACGGAAAUGAAAAGAUCUUGCAAUUUACGUCAACGUGCAAACUCCAGAAAAAUAAAUGAGAAAUAAUAAGAACACCAUAACUUUACGUGAUUCGGUCCGAGUAUUAGUACCUACAUUCACGGGAGAGUUAGCAACAAAUAACCCACUAUAAUAAAAAAAUCAGAGUUUACAAUCGCUCACAUGCUUGAGUAUUUUCUACACCUAGAUUUCAACUCAAGAGUUUAUAAAUAAACAACUCAUUUUAACAUAAAUUCACGACAUAAAAUUACCACUCGUUCAAAAACAAAAUGCUCUACGUACGCCAAAAACAAGAAUUCCAGCAUUUAUCUUUUGGUUCGCGUAGAUACGGAUUUGUGUUCUUCUUUGCUUGAUCGUGCGGCGCUAUUCUAGACGUUCCUUUUGGCUCUUUCUUCUUCGUAGGGCUUCAGUAACUUUUUCUAUAAAAAAAAAAAAGGACGUUCUAUUUUAUAUAUGUGCCUAGAGUCAACAACUUUGACUCUGGGCCCACCAUGUGCUUCUUUCUUCAGUGGGAAGUGGGACGCUGCAGGUAAGGCGAAGAAACCUUCCUUUUAUUCAUUUUUCUUCAUAUUUCCUUUAUUUUAUGGGAUAUGUUUGGCAGAAGUCCUAAAACUUGUCCAGAAAGUGCAAUUGAGUCCUAAAACUUACAAAAAGUUCAAUCAAGUCCUAAAACUUGUCAAAUUGGUUCAAUUGAGUCCUAAAGUUAACACCGUUAAGAAAAUUAACAGAAAUUGCUGACGUGGCGCUGACGUCAUAUUUUAAAUGAUCUUUUUUAUUUUUCAAAUAGCUUUUUUAAAUUAUUUUUAUUCAAAAUCUUUAAAAAUUAGAUUAAAAACUAAAAAGGAAAAUCUAAAUUUAUUAAAAAAACAAAAUUGUUCAAAAAAAAAAAAAGAAAAAAGGGCGGUGGACUUUCGCCGCUGCCCAUCGCCGAAGGGGCCGGCGAUCGUCGCCGGCCCUGGGCGGGGGCGAUGGUCGCCAUCCCUUGCCUGGGGCCGAGCAACCGUCGCCCGCCUUGGGCGAGGCCUCGUCGGCCCUCGCUUGGGGUCGGCGAGGCUCGCUAGAUCUGGGCGAGCCUCGCCCUCGCCAGCCACCCCUGCCCAGGGCCGACAACUGUCGCUCGGCCCCUUCGGCGAUGGGCGGCGGCGGCGGCGGCGGCGGCAGCGGCGGCGGGGAGAAGAGGGCUGCUUUUUUUUAAAACAAUUUUAAAAAUAACUUUUAUAACUUUUCUUUUUAAUUUUUAGAUAAAAUGAAUAAAUUUAAUUUUUUAGUUUUAAUUCUUUUUUUAAAAAUGAAUAAAAAUCAUUAAAAAAAUCCACGUGGAAAAUAAAAAAUAAUUAAAAAUGAUACGUCAGCAUUUUUAACAGAAAAAGCUAACGGUGUUAACUUUAGGACUUAAUUGAACUAACUUGACAAGUUUUAGGACUUGAUUGAACUUUUUGUAAUUUUAGGACUCAAUUGCACUUUUUGGACAAGUUUUAGGACUUCUGCUGAACAUAUCCCUUAUUUUAUAUAUGUUGUGUGCCUAAAGUCAAGACUUUUGACUUUGGGCCCACAUAAAUAACCUUGUUUGGCUCCCGUAGAUAAAGAAGAAACUUUGUUCUUUUUAUUAUUAUUAUAUUUUCUUUCCUCUUUCGUAAACCUUCACAAAGUCCAACAAAGCUUCUUCUAUUGAUCGAAACAAUCAAAGACCCAAAAAGAAUUUCGAAUUUAUUUUCUUGUGCAUAAUCUUGAAUAUUAUCUUUAUCAGAAAAAUAUCUUCACGAUCAAAUAAUAAAAUUUUUAUCCAAGCGGAUCGCAUUUUGCAAAUACUCAAACUCGAGACAUAAUUUAACACAUCCGACAUGAUAUACUGCCCAAUUACUAUCCUCUGACAAUUUAUAUUUGAUUAAUCUAAUUCAAGAAUAUUCAUUUGUUAGACUUGUUGGCUUACACGCCACUGUCACGUGAUAUAUCCUAUAUUGAGAAUACUCAAUGAGCUUUGACUCUAGAUACUUGGGAGCAUCUAUGCUUGUUUUAUGUAUGUUAUGCUUGUGAUGCAUCUUGUUUUGAGUGGACUGUAGAAAUAUUUAAGUUCGUGCCAAUUUGACUAAUUUUUUAUCUGGAUAAGUGCAUUGGAAGAUUUAAAACUUAUCAUAAAAAUACAAUUAAGCCAUGAAACUUUGAAAUCAAGUUCUAGAACUUGUCACAUUGGUCUAAUCUAAAUCCUACCAUUGCAUUUUUGAAAAUUUCGGUACUUAACUGCAAUUUUCUAACAAGUUUUAGUAUUUCCAAUAUACUUUUUUUUUUUCAACCUCAGUAAUGUUUUUAAGCAACAAUGAGCUUGACAUAUCUCUGUUUUCGGAAUUUCAGUGGCUAUAGGAAACAAAAGGACGUCCUCUAAUGAAUCAACAAUCUUCUGCCAUGACAAAGCUGGAAGAGAGAUGAGUGUCUUCCAUAGUUAUAAAAAAUGUUCAUGCAAUAAUCUGUAGGAAUUCGUCUUCCUGACGUGCAUGAACAUUUCCGGCCAUGAAACAUUUCACGGUGAAGACAUUCUGUCACUUAAACCGGCAAAAGGAUAUCGAGCUUGUUCUUUUGGCGAGUGUAUUGCCGUCAAAUAUGCCUGAUUAAUUCCACGACUAUUAGCAUUUGUUUAAAUAGAGCAUACAACCUAAAAUGCUCACAAAGGUAGCUGGUACUGGAUCCUCAUGUCUGCCCAUGAAAUUCUGAGUGCCUCAGACAUGGCAUAUCAGGCACACAAACAAUUCUCAACCCAGAAAUUAGUACGUACACAACAAAAGUUUAAAAAAAAAAAAAUUGGUUUGGUUAAUGUGGAAAUUUAACAUCAUGACAAGCAUAAAAAACUGUUCAGCAGUACAGUAGAGAGGUCAAGACCUGAGAACACUGUAUUGAGACUUAUUCAGAUGAACACUUCAGAUAGUCACUGAAAAGCUAAGGAGCAGAUGAAUUGAAUAAAGAACAAUGGCGAUGAUAAUACCUGCGGCUGAAUUUGUAGGGGGAGAGAAGUCCUAGAAACCGUCAUAGAUGCCAUAGCGAUGGAUGUUCACGAUUAAUCUUUGAGCUUACUAUUGUGGAAAAGUAUUAGUGAUUCGCCAAACGUAACCCAUGACCCUUCCUUAACCAAAGAACGCAUGCAAUGACAUCUUCUGGAGAGCGGCUCCUGGAAUUUUUCCAUCCACAACCUAAUUGCAUUAUCAACCUACUGACACAUAAAAGAUGUCAAUAGGCAAUGUGCUGUUGCACCACUGGACCCGCAAAUGGUCAUCAAUGUCGGUUAUACCGCCAAUAAUUUGUACCUGACCCUUCAUAGUCGUAUUAUUCGAUUAAUCUAUUUAAAGAACAUUCAUUUUCUUCAAACAUGCUUUCUCACGUGCCACUGUAAUAUGAUGUUUUUGAUACACAAAAUACUAUCUCUUCAAGAGCUUUGACUCCUAUAUACUUGGGACAUUAAAUUGUUUUAGCAACAAUGAGCUUGGGAUAUCUCUGUUUUCGGGAUUUCAGUUGCUAAGGGAAACAAAAAGGACGUCCUCUAAUGAAUCGACGGUAUUUUGCUAUAACAAACCUGGAAGAGAGAUGAGCGUCUUACAUAAUUACAAAAAAAUGAUCACGCAAUAGUUGGUAGAAAUUUACUCUGCUGACGUGCAUGAACAUUCUGAACAAAAAACGGAAAACAUGCAUGAACAUUUCCGGCCAGGAAGCAUUCACGAGGAGCUGAGAGACACUCUAUUUCUUAAAGCAGCAAAAUGAUUACGAGCUUGUUCUUUUGGUGAGUGGAAUGAAUAAAUUGUUCAAAAAAUCCUAAACUUAUUGUCCGACCACUAAUUUAAUUCUAAACGUUUUAAUUUGAUCAAUGUUGUCUAAAACUUUUGACAAUUUUUUGUAGUCCACCUAGUUAAAUUUAGGUCGAAAAUCAGUGAUGAAGCAAUUUAGUAAACACUAGCUGUUUUAAGUGAUACAACCGAUAGCUGAUAUAGAUGAUCUUAAAUGAUGUGGCGUCGUUUCACAAUUUUUUAAUAUUCUUUCUUUUUCUUUUUUAGUAAUUUUUUUUCCUAUUCUUUCGUUCUCUAGUGUUCAUUUUCUUCCCUCUGCCGGUGGCCGAUGCCUCAGCAAUGACCGGCGACCAUCAUAGGCUACAAGUGAGGGCAUUGAGCGAGACUUGCAAGCCUUCUCCUAGAUUUGGGCAAGGGCCCUAUAGGCCCUCAUUGGCCGUAGGCAAGGUUGGGGACUUGCAAGCCCUUGCCUAGAUCUACCCUCUAAUGGGGUCAAUGCCUGCCAUCACCAAAGCCUCAAUGUCUUGCUCUGGAAAGAAAAUGAACAGCAGAGAAGGAGACAAUAGGAAAAGAAAGAAAAAAGAAAAAGAGAGGAAAGGAAAAAGGGAAAAAAUCUGAAAAUAAUAACAAAAAAUUGCAAAAUGACGUUGUUUCAUUUAAGAUCAUCCAUGUCAAUUGCCAAUCAUGCAACGUGGCCUACCUUGUUGGAUGUAGUAGAUUUAGGAUAUUUUGAAUAUUUUUCUCCUAUUAAAUAUGCCCGGUUUAUUUGAUAUCCUAAAAUUUGUCAACUUUGUGAAAUCAAGUUCUAAAAUUUGUUGGCACUCUUUUCAUAUUGGAUGAAGUUAAUGAAAUGACUUGAUUACAACUACUUGGUAAGUUUUAUGACUUGAUUGUAAUUUUUGAAAAUUGUCGGACUCAAUUGCAUCUCUAUAAUAAGUUUUAAAACUUGAUUACGCUAUCUAAAAAUUUUAAGAUUUUCAAUAUACUUAUCCCUAAAAUAAAAUAAAAAGGGCCUACCCCCUUUACAUGAACUCUUUAAUUUAAACGCACCAUGGAAUUUCCUGUCCUUUUACACAAUUUCAUUAACUAAGAUUUUAUUUUAUUUUUUGGGUUAAAACCAAGAUUUAGUUCUUCUUCUUCUUUUUUUUCGGACCAGCCAAGAUUUAGUUCAAAGAUAGAUAUUUUGAGGAGAAAAAAAUUUCAGCAAACUAUGCAAGGAUUUGCAAAAGAUCGCAACAAUAUUACCGGAAGCAUAUAAUUAUUUAUCACUGACGAAUGAUAUAGUAAAAAUUCUUUUAGAAGUUUACCUUAAGUUUAGCAAGAUCUGCUUAUUCGGCAGCCUUGAGUUUCUUCGAUUCCUUCUCUCUUGCCUUCAAACAGAUAUAGAAAUGGCAACGCAGAAUAUCAAGAUAGAUUGCCAUUGACAAAGCUGUAAAAGCCUACUCAAUCGAGCAAAACUGGGACAGUUUUUCCAGCAAUCUUGACCACCUCCGUAGCAUGCCGUGGAAAUAGAUAGGAACACAUGUAGAGGGACAAGCUGAUUAUCACUUGCUUUUAGUCAAGCAUUCGAAACUUUGAGAUUCAUGCACUAUAAGAUAGCUAGACAAGCAAAAAAAAUGAUGGGCAUUUCAGUUGAGGUGUCAAGAGCAAUUAGAUUGAAUUCAAACCAAAUAAAGCUUGACGCAGAAAAGAGAAAUGUUGUGCAUUGAGCGAAUAUAUGACAAAAUAAGUGCAAAGAGAGUCAAUGAUGUUCUAGCGCUUUGGCCAAUUGAGUUCUUAAAAUUUUACUUUGCUUAAUUGAAUCCUCGGCCUUUUCAAUUUCAGUCAAUUGAGUCCCUCAACCUUGAUCCUCGGAAAUAGUCACAUGGCUAUGAUUUUCCAAGUUGAUAAGAAGAUGCUCGAGAAGAAAACCGGGUAGGAGGUGAAAUGGGACCUAAGUGCAAGUUUUACUAUUUCAGUAACUACAAUUGAUCUGACAGAAGGUUGAACUUUCAUGGAUCUGGCACUUCGUUUGAAGCUAUACAAACAGAAAUCAGCGGGCUCAAGAAGCCAAUCUUUUAGACAGUUUCUGAAUUAUCACACAGAAAAGCACUAGGAUAUCUUUACACAUUCACUUAUUAUAUCCUCUAUAAACUAACAGUUAUUAGAGUAUAUUAGGCAUCAUUUAUUUGUAGUACAUUAGGUACAGAUGUCCUCUCUCUGAAAUUCCCUCUUUUCCUCUUCUUACGAUUAGCUUUGCCAGAAGAUGUUUCCAACUUCCGACAUUGAUGAUGUCAUUUCAAGGAGUUCUCAAUGUUUAUCACAAAUCGGUACUUAACAUCUCUCUUGAUGAGCCCCUCAAGGGCUUCAUUGGCAUAAUCGAUCAGUAUCACUUCGAUUUCUUGGUGUAUGUGCUGUGGCGCACAGAGGUCUAUCAUUUCUUGGAUAUACUUCAUUCCUCCAGUAGCGCUACCCAAAACUGUUUUCAUACCUGCAAAAAGUUCAUUGUGAGCAACUUAGUUGGCUUGCCUAUCAGGUAUCAAUAUUUCAUUCGGUAAUGAGCUUUGAGAAUAAAAACAUACCAAGGUUAAGGGAGGAAGUACACUAAUGGUGCCAUAAGUUAUGUACGGCGCUCACUUUGGUGUCAAAAAUUUUUGUCGGAUCACUUAAGUGCCAAAAAUUUUGAAAAACGAUCACUUUGGUGCCAUCGUCGAUUUGGUUGGUCGGAAAUCUGACGUGACAAUUUUUUAUUAAUUUUUUAUGCCGACGUGGAUCGUCGGAUAAUACAAUCAACAAACAAAGAACAAAACGAUGCCGUUUACCAUUUUCCCCCAAAUAAAAACCCCUAAAUCCCUAAUUUCGACUAGAACUGGAAGUUGAAAACCCUAAAUCCCCAAUUCGACCAUUUCGAGUGCAUAUUUCGAUUUUCUGCCAAAGUUAUCAACUUGCUUUUGCAAAUGGAGGACAAAAGUUUCAACAGUGGCUCGCAUUCCUAUAAGAAAAGCGAAUUAGAUGGUGAGUGUUACUGUUAUUGUGGGUUACCGAGUCCGAGAAGAAUAUCUUGGACUUGGUUGAAUCCCGGGAGAAGAUUCCAUGGGUGCGGCAGAUAUAGAGAAAGCUCGAAGUGCCAUUAUUUCAAAUGGGUUGAUAGGAAAUUCUCUAAUCGAGCGACAUAUGUGAUAUUGGAGUUACUUGAAGGCCAAAAUCAACCUCCAUCUAUGUUAAUGGACGAGCUGGGGGAUGUCGACUCAAUACAAGCUCAAAUGAAGGGUUUAACAUCUCUGAUGGACCAUUUGAAGAGAGAGGUUUCAAGGCUGAAAAUUGAAAGAAACUUUAUCGAGCGUUGAUUGUAUUCUUAUUCUCUUGGGUAGUUUAUUCAAAUGUAAAGUGAGUAAUGAGAAGAAAUUUGUAUGUCUACCAUAGUCGAAGACGUGGAAUAUGCACUUGUAUUGGAUUAUUUAUAAGUAAAAUGUGUUUUUUGGUUUGUUGCAAUUUUUAUAUAGAGCAGAAUGUUUUAUUGUUGUAAUCUAUAGGUAGAAAUGUAAGGUUGGACUUGGAAUGCAUUAGUUGUGAGCACUUAAAAAGUUUUGUUGUUUAGUUGUGUAUUGUCAAUGUUUGUUUUUGUUAGUUUUUACUUCAAAUAUAAUGGUUUACUGCAUUUUUUAUUUGGUAAUAGUUUGCUGCAUUGAAAGCAAACGGUAAUGGUUUGCUGCAUUUUUUAUUUGGUAAUGAUUUGCUGCAUUGAAAGCUUUUGAUAAUGGUUUGCUGCAUUUUUUUUAUUUGGUAAUGGUUUGCUGCAUUUUUUAUUUGGUAAUGGUUUGCUAGUUUGCUGGUUUGCUUCAACUGUUAAACCAUGGCUGAAUGGCCGAAAUUAAAGAAUGGUGCCAAAUUCACGAUUGAUCAUUUCAGUGCCAUAAGUUGUAAAUAGUGAUCGCUUAAGUACCAAGUUUUUAUAGAAGUGAUCAUUUAAGUGCUAGUCGCAAUUACAAAGUGAUCACUUAUGUUGCACAAGUUUUUUAAAAAAUAACAUGUUAGUGCCAAACGUCACAUUCCAAAUGCACAGAGUUCUUGCACCAGUUGAGUUGCUGGUGCAUCUUCUUGCACCAACCCAUACAGAUGUCGAUGCAACAAGAUGUACCAGCACCCAAAGUGCUCUUGUAGCAGCACAUAUAAUCAGAACCCCACAAAUUCAUUAUAAUCCACAACUUUAACCAACAACAGCAACAUUGCAGCAACAACAACAUUGCAAUAACAACAAAAAUAAAAUAUAUAGCAUAACUAACUUGCUAGCAUUCUAGCUAAAACCAACACAAGAGAAAAUGAAAAGUCAUUCCAGUACUUGCCAUUAACAUUGCUUGAUUGUUUACAAAAUACAAAAUACAAAAAAAAAAAAAAAAAACAUGUCUAACUUCACUCCCUAAUCAUCAAAAGUUCAGCACUUUCCUAAAAAAAAACAAUGGCAAUAUGCAAGCAGCAACUACCAUUGAUGAUAUAAUAUCCAGCACACUCCUAAAAAAAGAAAACAUGGAAAGAGACCAUGUCUAGCAUCACAUAAAAAGAGACCAUGUCCAACACCCUCCCAUCAGUCAAUAUUGACAACACCCUGAUCUCUUUUUCUUAUUAGAGCUUUGAAUUGAUUCAUAAUCCGAGCACUCUUUCGAACUGGAUGUGCAGGUUCUUAACUGGGCUUUCUGUCACCUCAUUUUCCUUUUCCUUGUUUUUUACGGCAGCUAUUUUUGUUCUAGCACGUAUCAUGUGUUGGUCCAUAUCAUCACUACUGCUCCCAAUCGUUGGUUGAGAUGGAACUAGUGAUGGGUUCUUUUUGGAUGGCUGUUUCGCAGCUAUACCCACUGUCUUCUUCUUCUUCUUCUUUGGAGCACUCUUCUUUGGAUGCGCCCUUAAUUCUUGAGUUGGCCCACCUUGAGAGAGAAGUACCUCUGAAGUUCUCCCAGGCUACAAGAACAUAAUGAUAUUGUCAACCAAAUGAAUUGAAGUACAACAAAUUAAAUGCAUAAGGCCUAUAAAUUUUACAUUCAAAAUAGUCAUUCCAGUACGUUCAUCUGUGUAAAUCCCAUAACCAUAUUGCCUUAAUUUUUUUCCAAGAGCCCCUUUUGUUCGCUGUGAUGCAUCAUUUUCAGCAACAACAAUCUGAUAUUGCUAGUAUGAGUACCUAGAGGGGGGUGAAUAGGUAUAUAAAGAGUUUUUCUCAAGCAAUUGCACAAUACUAGACAGUUGGAUGAAACGAUAAUCAAAGUAAGACUGAGAGAAGAGAAAAUUUAAUACGCGGUUUAUAGUGGUUCGGCUUAUAUCAAGCCUACGUCCACUCUUCUUCACUGACAGCCUAUUGGCUGGAUUCCACUAUGAACAAGAGAGAGGUUACAGCACAGCUUUGCCUUGAUUCCACAGUGUAGAUGUUCUACUACACCUCCUCAAGAUUUCUCACAAAUAUAGACUCUCUCUUUCGUAUACAAGUAUUCGCUCAAAGGAUUUGUCUAAACAAAAAGAAGUUUCAGACUUUGGAAUUCUUCUAUCGCGCACACCUUGAACAACUAAGACAGUCUUCCUUAUAUACUCCUUUAUGCCAUCAUACCCGUUGGCACUUACCAAAGGAAUUCCUCCAAUCUACCCGUUGAACGGAAUCAAUUAGGAAGAUUGUCCAAGCUAUAAAUGGAACGUGUUGAUAGCCCAUCAAUCAUGUUCGCCCAUACAAUCAGGAUCUCGGUUUCCAUAAGCAGAACCUUCCAAUAAUAUUUAGGCAAUCACCGGAUCUUCAAUUAUCGAAUCAAUCUUCGAUCAAUCAAAGGACUCCGUUUAUGUCUUCUCCAGCCAUGAGAUCUUCUCCAGUUGAUAAGGUUAAAUCCUCAACGAAACAUCCAGUUCUGGAUAACCUUUCUUCAACAAAUUAGAGACUGUCAAUGAGGAUAGACUUUGAGUCUUGAGUCUAGCUGUCCUAAGGUCUUUAGACUUUAAAUAGCAGAGUCUGCAAGCCUUCAGACUAGACUGAUAUAAACGAUUUGUCAACUUCAAAACACUUCAAGAAGAUUUCUCCAACAAUCUCCCCCUUUUUGAUGGUGACAAAACUUUCCUGCAGAUUUGGAUAUCUUUGACCUGCAAAACAUUUCUCAAACACAUAUACAUAUCUUAUAGAGGUAAAUGUCUUAACAGAAUAACACUAGAAUCUGCAACCACAGAAAAUAGGUUAGUCCAGUAUAUGAUGAAGCCAUCCAUAAGAUAUCAAUAUUAGUUAAUAGAAGCAGUCAAGUCCAAGUCUAGUUUACUUCUCAUCCAAACACAAACCAAAGUCAAAUAGAUUCAAACCACAAAACAAUCCAACAAAAACAAUUAAAAGUUGAAUGAAAGGUUUUUAAUCAAAUCUUGCAUCUCUCCCCCUUUUUGUCAUCAUUAAAAAGGAUGAGAUGAAGUUAAGAAUGCUUGGGAACGCGGACAAGCUGGAAAUCUUCCAUAGACUGAACAAUGCCUUCCAACCUUUUAAAGUCUUCCUUUAGCUGUGCAAUCUCCUCACUCUUGGCAUUGGCCUGAUUCUGAACAGAGAGGGCUUGCAUUUUAUCAUUCAAUAAACAGGAAGAAGCUUGACCUUCAUUCUUCAAGCUUUGAACUUCGCAUCCCAAGGCAUAAAUCUGACCUCGCAUCUCCAAAAGAAUAUCCAUGAUUCUGCGAAAAUCUGCUCCAUUAUCAGUUUGAGUACUUGCUUCGGCUCGAUCUGAUGGAGUAAAUGCAGAUGAUGGUAGAUCAGCAUAAUCUUGCAGGUUUGGCGAUGAAACUUCAUGACCUUCUUCUGGAAAUUGAGAUGCAUAAACAUCCUCUGGAUCUGCUGGUGAGCGACUGAUUCCUUCACUUGCAUCAGGACAUGAAGACUUCACUCCUUUCUCCUGAUCUCCCCCUGUUUCCAUGCCUACAGGUGGAGAAGAGUGUUCUUCAGGUUCUCCUUCUUCUCUUCUUUCUUCUUCAGGUCUUUCCUCCUCUGUUUCUUUUUCAGCUUCUAUUUCUUCUUCUUCCUUCUCCUCUGCUUCUUUCGUCAUUUGCUCCGAUUCUUUCUGUGGAACAAGACGACUUAAAUUCUUCAAAGCCAAUGCAGAGAUGGUGAUGUCUUCCUCAUCAUCUUCAUCCUCAACAAGGAGAGCUCUUCUUCUCUUGGAUGGAGCAACCAUGGGCUCCUUCCCUUUUCUUUUAGCUGCAGAAGAUAUUUGAUGAGAUUUUGCAGGAGUCUUCUCCUUGAAUUUCUCCAACUCCUUGCUCAGUUCUUUCAGACGCAUUUUGGUCACCAUUUUCAGACCUACCACCAUAUGAUCGCAUGGUCGAACACAAAAGAUUUGUAGAGGCUGAAUAUUCAGAUGUCUGAAUAACUUCGUAACAAGGCUUGGGUAAGGGAGUUGACCUCCGUCCUUCAUCAUUGCUCUAUACAUGUGAAACAUCACAGUGUGAGGGAGAGAAAACCUUUUUCCAAAGAGAAUGGCAUACAUCAACUUGGCCUCUGAACUUGAAACAUCAGUCUUGGAAGUCGAUUUCGGUCGGAUGCAAUUAAUCACAAUCUUGUGAAGCAAGAUGUUGAAUGCACCCAUCCUUAAGUAGGUGAUCUUUUCAUCUGUUCUCCUGUCCUUCACCAGUUCAAGAGUGGCCCGAGCAAUGGAAACUUUGAUUGGCUGAUAUCUUCCUCUUUCGACUUCUAACACAUCUGCCAGCAUAUUCAUAUCCACAACAUAAUCUUGGUUUUUAACGCUGAACGAGAAUCUAUUCGCAUCCAAAAAGCUUAGAUUUGAAUAGAAAUAUGCAGUUAAUUCAGCAUAGGCCUCUGUAGAGUCAGAGCAGAACUUUUCAAGUUGAAGAUAACUGAACUUUUCCCUCAAGUUCAUAUUCACAGCAUCCAGAAAAUCGAAAUCUACACUCCUAGGGUUUAUCACCCCACGCUUCAGCAAUUUCGAGUACAGAUCCUUUUGCUCCUUUGAUCUGAACAAAUCUCCCCUUUUUCCUUGGUUAUCAACCGCAACACCCAUUUUCGGUUGGAAUUGACUGUACAAUUUAUCAUCAUCAUUCCCAUCUACAGGAUUCGGCCCCCAGUCACGAGGAUCACUUGGGAUAUUUGCAAGGGUUUCCUCAGCCACCCCUUUUCGAGCAAUUCCCAAACUUUCCAUUUUUUUCAGAAAGAUAUAUUCGUUCCCAUGUCCUUUGUCUUUAAGAAAAUCAUCAAUGUAGUUCAAAGGAGUACGAAUUCCUUUUAGGGCACGAUAUAACUGGUAAAUAUAAGUGGGCUUUUGAACUCUUACAGGGUCUGCAUCCUCGAUGAUUUCUUCCUGUUGUUGAUGAUCAACGCCUUGAGGACUAGAUGGAGGAGAAUGACACUGUUGAGAAUGUUGUGGGCUCGCUUGCUGAUCUGGAGUCACUUCAUCUUCAGUAAGAUCGAAGUGCGUAGGCCCCUCACUCAUCCGCCGUGGUCCCCUGCUUGCAAUUCUCGAAGACUUUCUUGAAGAUGACAUCUUAGUUUUUGGAAGAUUCCUUGCUUGACUUUCCCAGGAAAGAUGACAACUUUUUAAGGAUUAAACGAAGAAGACAAACGGGAAUGGAGGAUCGAUGCUUUCUAGGGUUUUUGAGAGAAAAGUGAAGAGGAAUCGAUAGUUCACGAUCGGUUAAGAAGAGGGAUAAACGAACCAUCAUAAAGGAAAUAAAAAUAUGCCUUUUCAAAAUAACUGUCUUUUUCCGCAAAAAUAGCCAUUUCAAAAAUAACUUCCCUUUUGAAAAUGAAACGAUGCAAUAUUUACUUCAAUUAAAUAUAGCAACAAUUUAAACACAGUCUGACAAUCGUACCUUUUCAAGAUGAGAUUCAAGAGAGAAAGACUUACAGUCUGACGGACGUACCAAGACUGUCUUUCAGAUAAAGUCUUGUAAGUCUGAGUCUGAAAGUCUUUAGACUUUGAUAUCCUCAUACCUCAAAAUGUUGAGUCUCGAGCGUAUAGACUCAAAUUGAUUUUUCUCCAAAGGCUUUGUGAAUAUAUCCGCCAGUUGAUUCUUUGAGUCAACAAAUUGAAUUGAAACAUCUCCAUUUUGAACAUGGUCUCUUAUAAAAUGAUGUCGAAUCUCUAUAUGCUUUGCUCUUGAGUGGAGAAUUGGAUUUUUGGUGAGGUUGAUAGCGCUGGUGUUGUCGCAAUUAAUUUCCGUGCAUGAGUCUUCAAUUUCAAAGUCUCUUAGCUGUUGUUUUAUCCAUAGAAUUUGCGAAUAGCAGCUUCCCAGAGCUACAUACUCUGCUUCUGUUGUUGAAAGAGACACAGUGCUUUGUUUCCUUGAAAACCAAGACACUGUCCUGCUUCCAAGCAACUGGCAAGUUCCCGAAGUGCUCUUUCUAUCAACUCUGCAAUCGGCCAGAUCUGCAUCUGAAUAUCCCAUAAGAUUAAAGUCUCCCUUCUUAGGAUACCAAAGACCGAUGCUUGAUGAUGAAGCAACGUAUUUAAUGAUGCGUUUCGCAGCACUGAGAUGGGAUUCUCUAGGAUCUGAUUGAAACCUAGCAUAGAUGCAAACACUCAACAAGAUGUCAGGUCUAGAAGCAGUAAGAUAAAGGAGUGAACCAAUGAUGCUUCUGUACAGCUUUUGAUCAACUUUCUUCCCUUCUUCAUCUUUGUCUAUCUUCAAAGAACUUGACAUCGGUAUGUCGGUCUUUUUGCACUUUUCUAAUCCAAAUCUUUUGACAAGAUCAUUAACAUAUUUUUCUUGAUAAAUAAAGGUUCAUUCCUUCAAUUGUUUUACUUGAAGACCAAGAAAGAAUGUUAACUCUCCCAUCAUACUCAUUUCAAAUUCAUCCUGCAUAGACUUAGAAAAUUUCUUGCACAUAUUUUCAUUAGAAGAUCCGAAUAUAAUGUCGUCCACAUAUAUUUGAACAAGUAAGAAACUUUUGUUCUCCUUUUUGAUAAAUAAAGUAGUAUCCACUUUACCUUUGACAAAACCAUUUUGUAUUAAAAACUUACUUAAUCUGUCGUACCAAGCUCGAGGUGCUUGCUUUAAACCAUACAGAGCCUUCUUCAGUCUGAAGACUGAGUCUGGCUUCUUUGGGUCUUCAAACCCUGGUGGUUGUUCCACAUAAACUUCCUCUUGGAUGACUCCAUUUAGGAAGGCGCUUUUGACGUCCAUUUGGAAUAACCUGAAAUUCUUAUAACAAGCAAACGCAAGUAAUAGUCGAAUAGCUUCUAACCUUGCUACUGGAGCAUAAGUCUCAUCAUAGUCUAUUCCUUCUUCUUUCAUAUAUCCCUUGGCCACGAGUCUUGCUUUGUUUCGUAUGACUUUUCCUUUCUCAUUCAUCUUGUUUCUGAACACCCAUUUAGCUCCAAUAACAGUUUUACCUUUUGGUUUGGAUGUCAAUUUCCAGACAUCAUUAAUGCUAAACUGUCUGAGCUCUUCUUGCAUAGCUUCAAUCCAGCUUUCAUUAGAUAAAGCUUCUUCUAUGCUUUUUGGUUCAAUUUUAGAAACGAGAGCCACAACACUAGACUUUUCUCGCCUUUUGGAUCUAGUGCGAAUUCCUUCAUUCAUUUCGCCGAUUAUAAGAUCUUUGGGAUGACUGGACUUAUGCUUCCAGUUACUCGUUGAUCUGUCUGGUUGAUGAUUUCUUUCUUUGUUUGGAUCUUCACGAACAUCUUGAAGCUGGUUUUCCAGAGUCUGAGAUGCUUCUUGAGAUGUAAGCUUUGGAAGAUCUGGAGCAGGUUCAGACUCUUCUUGAUGAGUCUGACUUGAUUCAUCUUGUGUUGAGUCUUGGAAUUUGACAUUCAUUGACUCCUCCAUAAACUGGCUCUUCUUGUUAUAGACUCUGAAGGCUUUGCUUGAUGUAGAAUAUCCAAGGAAGAUACCUUCAUCUGAUCUUUCUUCAAACUUACCAACUUGAUCUUUUGCAUUUUUCAAUAUAAAACAUUUGCAACCGUAUACAUGAAAGUAUGAAACAAUAGGCUUCUUAUCUUUGAACAAUUCGUAAGGGGUUUUCUCUAGAAUAGGUCUUAAGAAGAUUCUAUUGAUGAUAUAACAUGCUGUUGAAACAGCUUCAGCCCAAAAUCGUGAAGAAAUCUUGCUUUCAAAUAAAAGAGUUCUAGCCAUUUCCUGAAGAGAUCUGUUCUUUCUUUCCACAACUCCAUUUUGCUGAGGAGUAUAUGGAGAGGAGAACACAUGAUUAAAGCCAGAUUCAUCACAAAAUUUUGUAAAAUCUUGAUUUUCAAAUUCACUUCCAUGAUAUGUUCUUAUACUUGAGAUAACACAUCCUUUUUUCAUUUUGAACCUUUUUAGCAAACUUUUCAAAAUACGAGAAGGUUUCAGACUUACUUGCAAGGAAAUAUACCCAAGUAAAACGGGAGUAAUCGUCCACAAUUACUAGGCAAUAUUUCUUACCUCCAAUACUCUGUGUUCUGGUUGGUCCGAAGAGAUCCAUAUGCAGCAACUGUAGUACAUGAUUAGUAGAGACAUGAUUUAUUGGCUUGAAUGAAUUUCUUAUCUGCUUUCCCAGAAUACAUGGAGUGCAUGGAUCAGUCUUUUGAUAAGGUAAUUUGGGUAGUCCUUGAACAAGCUGCUUUGAUGAGAUUUUGGCUAAUUGCUUCAUGUUAACAUGACCAAGCUUUCUGUGCCAUAAGCUUGCUUCGUCUUGAAUUGAGAUAAAACAUUGCGAUUCAUUUGGUUUCACAUCCAGAAGAUAAAUGUUUCCAUGUCUACGACCCAUGAAAGACUGAGUAGAGUCUUUACUGAUUCCAGAACAUAUUCCUUCUUGAAAAAAGAUCUUGAAACCAGUAUCACACAAUUGACUAAUGCUGAGAAGAUUGUAAUUGAGUCCUUCCACUAAGGAAACAUUACUUAUUGUGAGAUUUCCAAUUUUCACAGUUCCAAAUCCCACAAUACUCCCUUUGUUGUUUCCUCCAAAUGAAACUUUUCCACCAUUUACUUGAGCAAUCUUUAUAAAACAAUUUGAGUCUCCUGUCAUGUGUCUUGAGCAUCCACUGUCAAGAUACCACUUUACCUUUUUCUUGACGGUGACCUGCAUUUAAAAAAGAGUCUCAAGCUUUCUUUGGUACCCAAACUUUCUUGGGUCCUUUUGUGUUAGUAACAUAAGCAGUAUUAGCCCAUAUUCUCUUAACAGGUUUCCAAACCAUAGGACACUCUUUUUCAAGGUGAUCCGGACUGUUGCAUUUUGAACAUUUUAGAGCAUUUCUUCCUACAGAUUUUACAAAAACUUUCUUGAAGUGAUUUUUGUAAACCUCUCUCGAGAGUCUUUUCUUAAUUCUUUCUUUUACUUUAGGAAAAUCAAUCAGGGGAAUUGUUUCUUCUGUCAUACCUAAACCGGACUUAUUGAAGUAAGGUCUUUGAGCUGAAAGAAUUUUCUCAAGUUUUUCGGACCCUAUUGAAAAUUUCUUUGAGAUAUUUGAUAAGUCUGUUUUUAAAAAAGCAUUUUCUUUUAAAAGAUCAUCUUCAUUUUCUUUAAGAGUGGAAACAGUCAAGUCAAGACUUUUAACUCUUUCUACUAAAACAUUUUCCUUUUGUUUUAGAGCUGAGUUUUCCUUUUUCAGUUCGGAAAUUCUUUUGAGAGAAGUCUUAAGACUAAAACAUAAUUCAUCAAUAUAUUUAGAAACUUUGACAGGAAUUUUAAUAUCACUUGCCUCAAAUUUACUGUCUGAGUUUGAUCCAGAGUCUGAGUCUGAUUGUGCCAUCAGACAUAGAUUGGCAUAUUCAUUAUCACUUUUUUCACACUCUGUGUCACUCCAUGUUUUGGCUUUGAGAGCUUUUCGAAAUCUUUCAGCUUUUCCUUUCUUCUUUUUCAGAAGAGGACAGUUGGGUCUGAUGUGUCCCUUUUUCUUACAUUCAAAGCAGACUAUGUCUUUGUUUGGUUCCUCAUCAUCAACAGACUUGGUCUGCUGUCUUUGAAAGCUUUGUUUCUUUGAAUUGAACCUUCUUCCUUUUCUAUUCAGUUUUCUGAAUCUUCUUAUCAUGAGAGCAAGCUCCUCAUCGUCCAUAUCUUCUUCAGAAUCUGUAUCAUCAGAAUCAUUAUUUGAUUUUAAUGCAAUGGAUUUCUUACCUUUUGGAUCUUCAUCUUCAUUGAUCCAUUCCACUUCAUAAGACUGAAGAGUUCCAAUUAGCUCGUCGACAGAUAGUGGCAUAAUUCUUUGCGUCUCUCUUAUCGAAGUCUUUAUGUGAUUCUAAUCCCUGGAGAGUCCACGCAGUAGCUUGUUUACCUUCAUGGGAUCAGAAGUUGGUUGACCUUGAUUUUCAAGACCAUUCACAAUAUCUGUAAAACGACUAAACAUGUCAGAUAUAGAUUCUCCUGGUUUCAUUCUGAAGGCUUCGUAUUGACCAAGAAGAAUGUUGAUUAUAGUUUCCUUCACUCGAUCUGUUCCUUCAUAAGUGAUAUGCAAUCUAUCCCAAACUUCUUUUGUUGUACCACAAGAAGAUAUUCUAUUAUAUUCAGUUGGUGAUAAAGCACAAUAUAAGGAGUAAAUUGCUUUUGCAUCGAGUGCUUGUCUUUUGUUUAUUUCUUCCUGAGACAUUCCGCUGGUUUCAUCAGUUUCUUUUCCUCUUUCAGAUACUGAUGCAGUGGUAGGAGUAAUUCCUUUUUCUACAACGUCCCAUUCCAGAGGAUCCUUUGAUCGAAGGAAAGCUUUCAUCUUGUUCUUCCAGAUGUUGUAAUCCUUUCCAUCAAAGUAGGGUGGUCUGGUAUUGCUUUGCCCUUCCAUCAACCCUGGUGCUAGCAUACUAGCCAUGGAUCUUUUACUACGAAGUAAAACACUUCAAAUAAAGUAAGUACACAGGCUCUGAUACCAAUUGAUAUUGCUAGUAUGAGUACCUAGAGGGGGGUGAAUAGGUAUAUAAAGAGUUUUUCUCAAGCAAUUGCACAAUACUAGACAGUUGGAUGAAACGAUAAUCAAAGUAAGACUGAGAGAAGAGAAAAUUUAACACGCGGUUUAUAGUGGUUCGGCUUAUAUCAAGCCUACGUCCACUCUUCUUCACUGACAGCCUAUUGGCUAGAUUCCACUAUGAACAAGAGAGAGGUUACAGCACAGCUUUGCCUUGAUUCCACAGUGUAGAUGUUCUACUACACCUCCUCAAGAUUUCUCACAAAUAUAGACUCUCUCUUUCGUAUACAAGUAUUCGCUCAAAGGAUUUGUCUAAACAAAAAGAAGCUUCAGACUUUGGAAUUAUUCUAUCGCGCACACCUUGAACAACUAAGACAGUCUUCCUUAUAUACUCCUUUAUGCCAUUAUACCCGUUGGCACUUACCAAAGGAAUUCCUCAAAUCUACCCGUUGGACGGAAUCAAUUAGGAAGAUUGUCCAAGCUAUAAAUGGAACGUGUUGAUAGCCCAUCAAUCAUGUUCGCCCAUACAAUCAGGAUCUCGGUUUCCAUAAGCAGAACCUUCCAAUAAUAUUUAGGCAAUCACCGGAUCUUCAAUUAUCGAAUCAAUCUUCGAUCAAUCAAAGGACUCCGUUUAUGUCUUCUCCAGCCAUGAGAUCUUCUCCAGUUGAUAAGGUUAAAUCCUCAACGAAACAUCCAGUUCUGGAUAACCUUUCUUCAACGGAUUAGAGACUGUCAAUGAGGAUAGACUUUGAGUCUUGAGUCUGGCUGUCCCAAGGUCUUCAGACUUUAAAUAGCAGAGUCUGCAAGCCUUCAGACUAGACUGAUAGAAACGAUUUGUCAACUUCAAAACACUUCAAGAAGAUUUCUCCAACACAAUCCUUGUAGCAACCUCUGCAACUUGUGCAGUUGCUCGUCUUCUCACCUAAGAAACACAUAACAAAUGUAAAUUUUAGCCCAUAAAAAGGCCAAACACAGUGAUGUACAACUUACAGGAUAUUUUUUUCUUGUUUGCUCAACGGUGGACUCAGUUGUUAUUGUUGCUGUCUUACCAAUUCUAGUCCUUAUCCCUGCACUUGAGCCUACAACAUGGCCUUUUUCUGGCCCUUUAGUAGGCCUUACAACAAUGUGCUGUAUUAGGAUUAUGACCAACUACAACGAAUAAUUACACAUCUCAUUUUCAUAGUGGAAACACAUGGAGAAAACUUCUCAAAUUACAAGUGCAUGACAGAGGAAAAGCACAAGAGAAGCUAGUACACAUGGUCAACCAUCAAACUCUAUCGAAUAAGAACUGUAAAGUUACUGAGAUAAAGAGGAUACUUACCUUACAGUAUGGCUUUCUGUUGCCCUUUAGUAGACAUUACAGCAGGGCCUUCUGUUCUCCCUUCAAUAAGCCCAACAAGAAACUCUUUGUAAGUCAUGUCCCUGGCAUUGAAUCAACCAUUACAUCUUGCUAUUGAUACUGCUUUUUCAGCUCACAACCUUUCUUAUCGUGCCCUUCCUUGCGGCAAUAGGAGCAUUUCAUAUUUGAUCUAGUCCUACUCAUCCUUUGACUUGAUGCCUCUUCCUAUUGCAUUCUUCGUCUCUUUUUUGGCCUUCAUAUUUGCUUCUUCAGCGGUAAAGGUAGAGGGCUUUAAUGAUUUGUUGGCUCCCAAAAUUUGCUGCUUCUGAUAGGCUACAUCAUGAAUUGGUAUGAAGCAAGGUAUGAGCUUUUUUUGUACCAAUCAUCUAGGUAAUCAUCUAGGUUUUCUUGCUUCAUCUGAAUAGCACAAAUGGCAUGAGCACAGGGAAUUCCAUUCAGUUGCCAAGCUCGGCAUGAACACUUUCUUCUAUCCAAGUUGACAACAUACUUAUCAUGAUUUGGAAUAAUCUCAUACCCAUUAUCUUCAUUCCAAACUGGAUGGCAGAACCUACUAACAGCAAUAUUUGCAUCUAAUCUCUUCACAAUCCUAGGGCCACAGUCUCUACUCCAUUUUGUAGCAUCAUCUCUUUGCCUAUGCAGUCUAGUCAUAACCAUAACUCGAAUAUCAUCAAGCAUGCUGAUGAUUGGUUUGCACCUAGCCUCUAAAAUUCUACCAUUGAAAGCUUCAUUGAGGUUGUUAUCAAUGUUAUCGCAUUUGAACUCUUCGCUGAAGAAGACCCGACACCAGUGCUUAGCUUCUGUCUGGAAGAGUGUAUCAAAACCUUCAUUUGUCAGCUGUAACAAUCCUUGUUUCGCUAAUUUGAAAUCAACCAUAUUCGUACUCUUUGCUAUCUGCCAGAACUGCUUCUACAACAUAUCUCCUUUGAAGUUCCUUGACCAGUUUGCAUAUAUGUGCCUCGUGCACAUUCUAUGCUCAGCAUGUGGCAUCAACUCAGCCAAUGCAGGAAUAAGUCCAUACAAAAAUUCAAACCAAUAAAUACAAGUCAAGAAAAAUAUGCAAGUGAUUAAUAUAUAAAUGAGUGAUUAUUGACAUGAAAUUACCUUCUAUUGGUUGCUCAUGAAUGCCCAUCCUCCCCCAUCGGUUAUCACAAGGUCAGUCAUCAAAUUUUUUAGGAACCAUGACCAAAUAUCCUUGUUCUCUAUCUUUACCACCGCCCAAGUUAUCGGGAACAUUUAAUUAUUGGCAUCUCUCCCCACAGCAACCAACAACUCCCCCUUGCAUAAACCCUUUAGAAAGCAUCCAUCCAAUCCUAUAACUCUUCUACAACCAACCAAGAAGCCCCGUUUGCAUGCAUCAAAACAGACAUAAAAUCUAUCAAAUUUAGGCCAAAGAUCAGGGAGUGGCCUCUUCACAACCUCUACAUAUACCCUACUGGAUGGGUUUUGAAACAUGUAUUCACCAGCAUAAUUCCAUACCUGUGCAUAUUCUUCUUUAUACCCACCCAUCAAUAUUUUCAUCACCCUUAUCUUAGCUCUCUUACAUUGAUUCCUCGACACAUUAACCUCCACUUGCUCCUUCACUAAUUGUUGAAAUUGAGAACUCUUGAUCUCGGGCAUUGCUUUGAUAGUAUUAAAAAAAUUCUUUGAUAACCACACACUUGUUACCCUUUUAUUAUUAAAGAUAAUUGGACAAGUAUGCUCCUCCUGAAAGGACCUAAGCUAGAAUGACCUAUUCUUACUAAGCGCAGCAUAGAGCUUCCAUGAACAAUUAGGUUGUGAGCACUUAGCUCUCACAAAUUCCUUCGUGUUUCUAAUAAAUUUAACGCUCCUCUGUUCACCAAUUGAGUUCUUCACAACAGCUUCCUUGAACUGUUUGGCAUUGUCAAAUCUCAUGCCCACCGACAAAACAGGUUUAUCAACAGUUGAAUCAUAGAAAGGAUACUUACUUUUUCUUCGAGGAGCAGGUUCUUCAUCAUCAUUGUCAAGCUCAUUUUCCGAACUAGUAACUUCAUCGCCACAGCUUUCUUCAUCUUCACUUCUAUUACCCUCAGCUUGAUCUCCAUCCCUAUUUACUGGCUCGGACCUUUUUGCUAAAGCUACAAGUUUUUUUUUCUCAGAAAUUCCCUUUGCUUUUGUCUUGACUGUACGAGUUCAUCAUCAUCUUCGUCACUUGGAAAAUUUACUAAAGCCAAACAUUCAUCUUCCGAUUCAUUAGAUAAAGCAAUUUCCCAUUCUAAUCCAAUGAAGUCUUCAUCGCCCACAUCUUCACCCAAAUCUUCACCCAAAAUUUCAGGACAUCUCCCUCUUUGUUCAUCUCUAUCAAUAUGACUUAUCUCCCUCUCAUUUUGCCCUUCAUCUAACCUAAACUUAUCCCCGACUUGAUUACUCGUUUGAACAAGAUCCCUCACUUCUCCUCCUUCAGUGGUCGUCUGCUCAUCCACAUCCUCAUCCUCAUCCUCACUAUAAUACUCAACAUAUACCUUAACUUCUUCAUUGUGAAGAUAAUGGUAAAUGAUAUCCUUAAUACCAUUAUCGUUGUUAAAAAAUCUUAACCCAUCCUUCAAUUCCUUCCCAGGAACACAGUAAUGUAGUUUUUGCACUUUGCAUCGUAAAAAAUACACCAAAUCUCUCAGAAAAUCAAUAUAUGAUGGCUUCCAAACAUUGACAUAAAUAGUACCUUAAUUUCCACUAUUUUAUUAUCAAUCUUCAGUGCCAAUAACAAACUCUCCACCAUAGUAAACAAUGACGCUUACCUGAUUCGUGUCCAUGUCGAUGCUGCACCCAAUGAAAAAAAAAAGAGUCAUUGUCGUUUUGUUGGAACCACAUGACAGAAUCGACAACUUCACAUGUAGGUCCUUAUCGUUUUGUUGUCAAGGAACAAAUGCGACUAAAAUCUCCCCAAUUCGGUGGAUUUACAGAAAUAAAAGAAACCGAAUUAAAUAAACAAAGUGAGGUCCCCACCACUCAUUUUUCAAUUCAAUCACAUUCACAUUCGGUCCCCCACAAAAGCAGUCCAAUUAAUUAAAUAAAAAAAUUCGGUCCACCACUGUUUCCCUCCGAGUCAAGCCUCUCCGCACCAUUUUUUCUGUUCGGUCCUCACAAUAGAAAACGAACAAACGAUGGAAGAAUCAAUUUUUCUAUUCCGUCCCCAUAAAAGUGACAUCCCCACCACUUUCCCCACUACUUUCCGCUUGAGCCAAGCCCUCAAUUUGCCCUCCGUGCCCUAAUUUGCCCGUCGGAACCCUAAUUUUUUCGCAAAAUUGAUCCACGUAGAGAACAUGACAAACUUGAACGAUCGUGAACAAUGGCGCAACUACAACGGUGGCCAAGCGAUAGUGGGCGAGCGACAGCAGGCGAGCGAACGACGGUGGGUGAACGACAGUGGGUGAGCGAGCUCCGGCCAGCGUCGAGGAGAAUAAUAUACGAACCCUAUUUUACUCCCUCUUCAGCAACAUCGUUUUUUGCUAUGGAGCAACGCGGCGUCGUUUCUUAUGUGAAUCCACGGUGGAUGGCAAGAAACAACGUUGUUUCUUACAAAGAAAGGAAAACGGCGUCGUUUUAUGCUAUCCACCGUGGACAAUCUUAAGCCACAUCGUUUUUUUUUUAAAUAUAAAAGCCACGUAUUUAUUUUGGCCGAAAUUUCUCGCCAGUGGCACCAAAGUGAUCGUUUUUUCUCCGAUUUGGCACUUAAGUGAUUUGACGGAAACUUUUGACACCAAAGUGAGCGCCGUACACAACUUAUGGCACCAUUAGUGUACUUUUCCCCAAGGUUAAGGCUUGCCACACUGAAUGUAACUUCGCUUUGGGACCCAACCAACGCUAGAACGCCACCCGUCUUCAAAAGAGACAUGUAAGGAUCAAAUAGGUGAUCAGCAGAUGCCGUGUCGAUUAUAAAGUCCAGGGACUUAGCCAUGGCCUGCAUGUAUUGGAAUCAUCAGAUCACGGUAGCACUUGACCUUAAUGGAUCUAAAGUAUUGAUAAUUUUAAAUCUUCCCGCCUGCCUUCGUCUAUUCUUGGUCAGAUGAGAUAACGAAGUGGUCAGCACCAAGCAAGCUCAGUGCUUCCUCCUUUUUAGAAAUGCUUGUACUAAACAUAGCGAAUUUCAGUCCAUAAGCCUUCCCAAGCUUAAUUGCCAUGUGACUGAGCCCACCGAGUCCAAUUACACCAAGAGACUUACCCGGUUGGUUCAUCUUGUGACGCACCAUUUGAGUGUAUAUUGUGAUUCCAGCACAAGGCAAUGGUGCUGCUAAAGCCAACGGGAAGUUUUCUGGAAUCCUGAAGCAGUACCUGUUAAUGAAGCACCACAAUUAAGUUUCCAAAUCACACCAAAGGAGGAAGGGAUUUCCCAAUAGAAUCAGCAUCCCAUCUUUUUUGUACAACGGGAUUCAAAUCACAUUUUACUUGCUUAGAGCACAAUUCAACAUCAUGUGGUUUCUGUGAUUCUUUUUCUGACCACAAAUUGCUUAAGACGAAAACUUCUUGCUGUAGCGACGAAAGUAAAGCCACUGCAGCAUACAGGAGGCCAUACUUGAUCAAAAUUGAGAAAAGAGGCUUGCUCUAACAGAGUACACUGGAAGCAUAUUGCAUAUGCAUGGCAGAUCAUGUAAUUUCUCUAUUCCCCUCAAUCAUGUCUCUAAGGGACACGAUAUUCCCGUGACUGUCGAAUACAAGAAUCCGUGAAAGCACGUACAUUUUAUUACCCAUUUGAUCUAACACUUACCAUCUAACUCUUGGAAACAAUCUAAAAAAAGGGAGGAAGAGGAGAUAGAAGGCAAGAAUUGAGCAAUUUCCAUCUGUUUCUCUCUUUUAAUUAAGAGUUAAUAUCCUAAAAAACUCCAAAUUGGUACACAUGUGACAAAUUUACCCCGAUGGACUAUUAAAAACCCUAAAAUUAUAUAUUUAUGACAAAUUUACCCCAAACUAAUUUAUUCGACCACAAAAAAAAUGGUAAAUUUGUGACAAAUAUAUCCUCCACUAAAUUGAAUUAAUACCAUAGUAAACCGUGACAAACGGAGCGUAAAAUCUCAAAUUGAUAUACUAGUCAACUGUCACAUGUCAUUUAACUUAAUAAUUUGACAGUAAAAUUUAAUGAAAACUAAUAGAAGGUAAAUUUGUCACAAGUGUACCAGUUUAGAGUAAAUUUGUCAAAUAUAUAACAAUUUAGAGUUUUUUGUGGUAAAAAAAAAUAGUUUGGAGUAAAUUUGUCACAGGUAUAUCAGUUUGGGGUUUUUUAGGGUAUUAACCCUAUAAUUAAUUUAGUUUUAAAUUUAAUCUUAUUAAUUUUUCAUGAAAAAUUCAUAUGUUAAAUUUAUUGGCUCACAUGUCAUUGUCACUUGAUGUGUAUGAUAUAUAGAAUAGUCCAAGAAAUUUGACUUUAGAUACAUGGGAACCCGCGAAUGGUCAUACAUUGUCGAUUACACAUUCAACAUGAUGUAUUAGCUAAUCAUAGUCCUCUAACGGUUUAUAUUUGCUUAAUAUAUUUCAAGAAUAUUAAUUUGUUAGACUUGUCCGCUCACACGCCGCUGUCACUCGAUGUGUAUGAUAAGCAGAAUAGUCGAAGAGCUUUGACUUUAGAUACUUGGGAGUGUCUAUGCUUGUUUUAUGUCUAUUAUGCUUGCAAUGCUUCUUGUUUUGAGUGGACAGUACAAAUAUUUAAGUCCGUGUCAAUUUGAACAAUUUUCUUUAUUAUAGAGCAACAGUCUUUAAUCUAUUGUGUUCUUGACCACAAAAAACCAAAUAACAAAUAAGUAUAAAUUAUUGUAGGGUCCAACGACAAUCUUUAAUCUAUUGUGUUCUUGACCACAAAAAAUCAAAUAAUAAAUAAGUAUACAUUAUUAUAGGACCCACUCCUUUAAAAAUUUGUUGUUCACAAAAACUUAUUUAUUCUCAUAAUAACCCAAAGUUAUGCUAGCAAAAAUGCAAUUUAAUCCUAAAAUUUGUCACGAAAUGCAAUUGAGUCCUAAAAUUUUCAAAAAGUACAAUUAAUUAUAAAGAUUUAUCAAAAUUGGUCCAAUUUAAGUCAUUCCAUUCAUUGCAAUUUUUGAAAGUUUUAGAGCUCAAUUAUGCUUUCCUAACAAGUUUUAUGACUUAAUUAUAAUUUUUGAAAAUUUUAGAACUUAAUUGUAAUUUAUGAUAAGUUUUAGGAUUUCUAGUACACUUAUCUUUUUUUUUUGUUUUUCACCUCAUUAAUCUUUUUUGCAACAAUGAGCUUGACAUAUCUCUGUUUUGAGGAUUUCAGUGGCUAGGGGAAACACAGGGAUGUCCUCUAAUGAAUCAACAAUCUUCCUGCCAUGACAAUGCCGGAAGAGAGAUGAGUGUCUUACAUAGUUAACAAAAAUGUUCAUGUUAUAAUUGGUAAGCAUUCGCUUUCCCAACGUGCAUGAACAUUUCCGGCGAUGAAACAUUCGUGAGGAGCCAGUAAAGACAUCCUGUUAUUUAAACCGGCAAGAGGAUAUCGAGCUUGCUCUAUUGGCAAGUAUAUUGUUGUCAGAUAAGCCUAAUAAAUCCGAUAUUUUCAUACAAAAAAUCGUCAUCGAGGCCAACUUAAUCCAAAAUGCCAAUGGACAGGCUUGGGUAAGCUAGUGGAUAGGUAUGCCGCUUUAUCUUAUGUCGUGUUAUCUCACGAGAGAUGGUGCUGCGUUCUCUUUAGAAUGCACAUGACUUGGGAUAGGAAAACCUUAGGAUCCGACUAGGAGGAAGGAAAAAAGCAAUCUAUUGUCGGGCCAAUAUAAGAUCAUUUCAUGUCAAACUCCGCAGUCUUGAGGCCAUGGAAUCUACGACAUACUUGCUCAUUCACAAGGACUGAGCAAAUAAAUGAUAAAAUAAGAGCAAUGGUCGUCAUUGAUCGUCUGCCCUUUAACUGAUUGGAUUCUAAAUAUUUUAUUUUCAAUUGGGGUCUAAAUAUUUUAUUUGAUUCAAUUGACUUCUAAAGAUUUCCAAUUUUAGUCAAUCAAGUCCCUCAAAUAUUAUCCUCGGAAAGAGCCACAUGGCUGUGAUUUUCCUAGUGGCUAAGGAGAUGCUUGAGGAGAAAACCUGUAGGAGAGGCGAAGCCAUCCAAGCAGAACUCUCAAGAAGUCAAUUUUUCAGACAGUUUCUCAAUCAUCACAUAGAGAAGUACCAGGAUUUCAUUACCCAUUUCACUUGUUUCUGCUAUAAAACUCACGAGUAUCGAAGUAUAUCAGGCAUAGUUUAUUUGUACUCCAGCAGAGCAAUUAAGAAGGCAUAGAUGAUGCUCUCCUCUAGCUGAAAGCCCGAAACUCCCACUUUUCCUCUGUGUGAUCAGCCUUGCCAGCAACAAUUUCCAACUACCCAAAUUGAUGUUGAAAUUUAAUCAAAUAGACUCAGAGAAGAAAACAAACAAGAGAAUUGUUGCUGUAACUUUCGUUACUUUAUUCAUCAGAACAUAAGCCUAUUAAAUAGGCAGAACAUCCAAACCACUUAGCAAGACAAUAGCUAUAGAACAACAACAAAGACCCACUAACAUACCCCACUAACCAGAACAUAUGCAGAAACUAACUCCUAAAAACAAGCCACAUCCUAUUGACUAGGACUCCACUAUUACAUUAUUGAAGACACGUAAAAACUGAAAGUUAACUACUUCAACAAUUGAUGGUGUCACUUCAAGGAGUUCUCAAUGUCAAUCACGAAUCGAUACUUAACAUCUCUCUUGAUGAGCCUCUCCAGAGCUUCGUUGGCGUAAUCGAUCGGUAUCACUUCAAUGUUUGGGUAUAUCUUCUGCACCGCACACAAGUCUAUCAUUUCUUGGGUAUUCUUUGUUCCUCCCGUUACGCUACCCGUAACAGUUCUCAUAUCUGCCAAAAGUUCACCGCGAGCAACUUAAUUCACCUAUCAGGUAUGAAAUUUCAUUUAGUAAUCAGAUUUGAGAACAAAAACAUACUGAGGUUAAGGCUGGCUGGACUGAAUUUAACUUCGCUCGGGACGCCGACCAAUGCUAGAAUGCCACCCGUCUUCAAAAGAGACAUGUAAGGAUCAAAUGGGUGAUCACCGGCUGCCGUGUCGAUUAUAAAGUCCAGGGACUUAGCAAUGGCCUGCGUGCAUUGGAUUUAUCAGAUCACAACAGAAUUUGACCACCAUGGAUCUCAAUGUGGAUAAUUCUAGUUUUUCCUCUUUUUACCUUCAUCUGCUCCAGGUCAGAUGAGAUAAUGAAAUGGUCAGCCCCAAGCAGGCUCAGUGCUUCCUCCUUUUUAGAAAUGCUUGUACUUAACACUGUGACUUUCAGUCCAAAAGCCUUCCCAAACUUAACUGCCAUAUGACCGAGCCCACCAAGUCCAAUUACACCUAGAGACUUACCAGGUUGGUUCAUCUUGUGACGUAUCAUUGGAGUGUACACCGUGAUUCCAGCACAGAGCAAUGGCGCUGCUAGAUCCAUCGGGUAGUUUUCUGGAAUCCUGAAGCAAUACCUGUCAAUGAAGCACCACAAUUAAGUUUCCAAAUAACACCAAGACAGGAAGUGAUUUCCCAAUAGAAUCAGCAUCCUGUCUUUGUUGUCUAAAAGGAAUCAAAUCACAGAGCCAGAAAUCCUAUCUUCCACAUGCUUGGGAAUUUUACUUGCUUAGACCACAAUUCAGCAUCAUGUUGUUUCUGUGAUCCUUGUUCUGACCACAAAUUGCUCUAGACAAACAUUUCUUGCUGUAGCAACGUAAAUAAAGCAAUUGCAGCAUACUGGAGACCACACUCGAUUAAAAUUAAGAAAAGACACUUGCUCUAAGAAAGGAAACUAGUGGCAUAUCAUGUAUGCUUGACUGAACACGUAAUUUUGUAUUUCCUUCAAUCAAUUUCUCCAAAGGACUCAAGAUUCCUGCGGCUCUAUCAGAAACAAGAAUUAGUGAAAGCGCAUACAUUUAGCUACUCAUUUGAUCUGAUACUUAUGAUCUAACUCUAACAAUCUAAGGACAGCUUAUUCCAUUCUUGACAAUGGUUAUUCAAAAGAAAGAAUUUCUUUUCGCAUUUAAUAAAGCCAGUUCUCCAUUGAAUGGUUUGAAUGGUAAUUGGAUACAGAGGACUUAAAGACUCUCCAGAGUCGUUAUAGAAAGUAUCUUUAUCCCUUUCCACAAGAUGCAAUUAAUGCCUAAAAGCCAUUCCUCACAGUCCUAUGCAUUAUGCCACUUCUGGUCACAAUCAGAAUAAGAAGAAAAUUAGCAGAGAAGAAGACAUGACAUGAAAUCUUUUUUUGGCCACCAUGAUUUGGAAUUCUGUCACAGUGCAAAAUGCUGCCUAAUAACACUGUGUCAGUAAGCAAUUAC
rnacentral:lncRNA from 1 species